rnacentral:lncRNA from 1 species
GGACAUUCUUCAAGUUUACUGCAACCUCGAAGAUCAAGAAUAAGAAGAUUUUCUAACUGAAGGAAGCUUGGCAAACUGCGAAUACUUACACAGUACCUUAAGUCUAGCCGAACAAGCUUGGUUGAAUAUUUAAGAGAUGAAGGAAGCUCAAUGAAACGUCUACAUCUUGACAAACAUAACAUCUCAAGGUUUGGGGCUUGAAAUGGGUCCGAAAUUCUCAAUAAAGACAGAGAGCUGCGGAGGUCCAUAACUUUCAAACUUUUAAAAGGCUGUAAUAAAAAGAGCAAGAAUAUGAAAUAUUAAAAUUUCAUGCUUUAUAUAUAUUUGUUAUUUAUCCAAAAAAAAAAAUAUAUAUAUAUAUAUACAUAUAAUUUCACUACUCAUCCAAUGGUGGCUACUGGCUAGCAGGGGCCAUGGCCCCCAUGUCUCAAAAAUUUUAUCUUAUAUAUAUUUUUUGAGAAAAUGAUCAAUGUGGAAUGUAUUUUAAUAUAAUUUUAUAUUUAUAGUAUAAAUAUAAAUAUAAUUAAAACAUAAAGCAUAAUUUAUAUUUUUAUUUUUAUUUUUAGUAUUCUUAUUAUUUAUUUUAAAAUUACAAUAACUAAAACAUAAAGCCAAAUACUCACAAAAUAAUUAUUUUACAAUUCAAAAGUAGUUAUUUACUUAUUUGUUUAUUUAAUCAAAUAAUACAAAAAAUAAAUUCUAAAAAUUGUAGUUUAAUAUAAUUUUCUGUACACAUACCAAAAUUAAAAUAAGCCAAUUUAAAGUAUGGAGAUUAAUAAACUUAUGUCUAGGUAGUUUCUAUUUGUUGUUGCUAUAAGGGUAAAAAUUAACACAUCAUCUGCUGUUUAAAUAAGCCAAAAGUAUAUUCUUAACAUUUGAAUUUCUUCAUAUAUUGAUUGAUCAAAAUUUUUAUUACUUCACGAAAUUAAAAAGUCUCAUUUAAUUCAAUGAUUUGACCUUUAACCAUAUUAAAAUUAAUUUGUAAACAAAGUAUUGGAUCCGCCACUCAACUAAAUACAAGUUAUUAUCUCCAUUUUAACUCAACUAUAAAAUUUAACUCAACUAUACAAGUUAUAUUAAGACCAAUUUGACUAAUCAAACCAUUUUUAUAAAUUUUAACUCAGCUAAGUAUAAGUUAUUAUCAAACUACAUCUUAUUAUGUUAUAAGUUCAUUUACACCAAAUACAAAUAUUAAAGUUUAGGAAAUAUACCUUAUUAUUAUCUCCAUCCCACAGUUGUUUGAGUUGGCUGCCAUGCAAGUGAAGUUGCACAAGAUUAUUUGGGCAAAACUUCAACGGCAAUGAUUUCAAAGGGUAACUGUACCAAUCUAAAUAUCUUAGCUCUUCUGGAAGAAAAUCAAGGCCAUCAGGCAAAAUCAUUUUGGAAACAAAGAUUAUGAGGAAUCUAAGAUUAGGCAUCUUCAUGAAAGUUUUGGAACUUAUCUCAAAAGCUUCAAUAAUGAACAUCUUAAGCGAAAUGCACUCAAUCUUAUCAGUUCCCUGAUAAAUGAACAACAAAUGAAAAUAGUUAAUUGAGAAUAAAGUAUUUAAAAAUAAAAGCUAUUGGAAUCAUCUAAUUAACUAAUUACGUGGAGCAGUAAGUUCAAAUUUCAAUUGUUCAAACAUAAAAAGAAAAACAAAAGAAAAAUGUAGCAAAUUUUGCUCCUUACUGUAUUUGUUUUGAAUACAUGAGAAAUGUCGUCAGGAUUCCACAACCUACUACGUCCUCCAGGCUGUUUGCAUUCCUCAUUCACAAUCUCCUUUCCCAUUUGUUGUAGUAAGUUAUGCAUUUCUACUUUACGAUCAUAGCUUCCGAUGGUGAUGAGAGAUUUAUCAAUGAGACUCCUUAUUCCACAUCUCGCAAAGAAACCAAAACUUUCUAUUAUUUUUUCAAGCUUAUUUUCAUGUGUAUCUCCUUUUCCAAAGAAACAUGCGAUAUCCAGAAAUAUGCUCUGCUCAUUUCUAUCUAACCCAUCAUAACUUAUUUUUAGAACAUCUUGAAUUCUCUUGUUCGGGAUGCUUUUCAAUUUGAGCAAUUGGCUCUCCCAGUACUCUUUCUCCUUGCCAUAAAGGCUGGAGCCUAAAACUUUUAGUGCUAAGGGAUUGCCUUGAGCAUAACUUCUCACCUGCUGGGAUAGCAGAACAUAUCCUUCUUUCGGUUCAUUUUGAUGGAAAGCGUGCAAGCUAAAUAGUUGAAGAGCUUCCUCAUAAAUUAAUCCCUUAACCUGACAAAUAUGUUCUUCAUGACAAACAUUUUUAAGUACUUGUCUAUCUGUACUAGUUAUAAUGAUGCUACUUCCCUUACGGUACAAACUACAGUUUCCAGCUAGAAGAUCUAAAUCGUGUGAAUCAUCAACGUCAUCAAAAACAAUAAGAACUUUCUUACGCUGAAGCCUCCUCAGAAUCCAGUCAUCUAAAACUAAAAGUUGUGAGCCCAUUUUCAAACUUUCCUCUCCCGUUAGUGAACGAAUGAUUCUAUCCCGUAAAACAAUUGCUGUUUCCUUCUUUAUCUGUUGCUUGACAUUUGAAACAAAGCAGUGGGCAUCAAAUUUAGCCUUGAUUUGGGAAAACACUAUACCAGCAAGCGUUGUCUUUCCAAUACCAGCCAUUCCCCAAAUUCCUAUUAUCCAAUUUCUGUCAUUUACAUCAAUAUCCAAUAACGAUAUUACUUCCUCGACACGCGAAUCAAUUCCAACUAACUUGUCAUGGUAACUAGCAUUUGAUGGCAUAUGACUUAAUAUCUCUGAAACACGAUUGACGAUUCUUUGAACUAGCAUUUGGUCAUUCCUGAUCACAUAUGAACAACAAAAAGUAAGCCCGAACUUAUAUAUUUUCUAGAAUAGAAUCAAUUAAGUGUUUGGAAAAACUGGGUGGGUCAAUCCCAUGAUUGAAGGAAUAGGAGAAAAUGAAACAGAAUUUUAACAAGAAAGUGAAAAUAAGUAACAGUCCAAAGGAGUGGAUAUCGUAACUAAAAGCCAUCUGUUGUGUGCGCAAGAUUGAUCUAUUAUUAAUAAAUAGAAAAUAAAAAAGACAUGUAAAAGCAAACAAGGGAAAAUAAUAACUUUACUUGAUCUCAUUGGAAACAAAAGCACCUAAAUCGUUGCUGAUUGUCUUCAGAGCAUGGCACCAUCCACCCAGGUUGUGUGAUCUAUCGCUGUGAUCUUGUAAAAGCCUAGCAAGUGCCUUUGUAAAAGGCCCUCUCAGCUCUUGAACAUCAGUUGGAUCUACACGGUAAAAAACUGGUAAAACCAUUUGUCCUCCCUUUUCUCUGCAUUUAUUUAUCACAACAAGUUCGUCCAAGCACCAUGGAGAAUCUGCAUAGUUUUUGGAGAAUAUGACAAUUGAAAUACAUGAUUCUUGAAUUGUUUGCUUGAGGGCUGGUGUUAUUUCAGUUCCUUUUUGAAGGUUUUCAUCCUUGAAGGUAUUGAUUCCUUUUUCCUUCAAAGAUUCAAAGAGAAAGGAGAGAAAACCAUCGCGGAUGUCUUUGCCUCUGAAAUUAAUAAAAACUUCAUAGUUAUUUAGCUCGGAAGGGAUUUGCUGGGAAGAGGUUGAGGAUGGAGAAGAAGCAGCAUUGGCAUUAAUGAUAAAAGAAGGGGUUAGCUGGAAAGAGGUUGAAGCAGAAGAAGAGAAAGAAGAACUCAUAACGGAAAAUUCAAAUGAUACAAGAAGCCGUAGAAGGGCGAGUUUUAUAAAACGUAGAAGAGCAUAUAUAAAGCUAAACCAUUGGGAUUUGAGAGUCAUCAUCACAGAAACUUCAAAGAAGCUUUUAGGAAAGUGAGUGAGUGGAAGUGGGAAAGAGAGAGAAGUGGGCGAUGCGAGAGUAAAGCCAAAAAGAGAGACAUUGUAGUGCGCGUGUGAGCGGAUCUCAUGUGCCGUGUUUGGAGCUUCGCUUGAUUUGUAUAAUUACAGUUUAUUGCUCACUUAUAAAAGUUAUUUCAAUUUAAUCCAAUUGCUGAUAAGUAUAAAAAUCAUAGUAUAAAUACCGAGGAAAAUUGACCUCACAAUCACGAUCUAAUAAUUUUUUAUAAAUCAUAAUUAGAUAAUUAUGUAACUCUUUGUUAUAAUUUGAAUUUUUCAAGACACAUUUCAAGCAUAAAAAAUAUUAUAUUAUUAAUUUAUUUAUUUAGUUGCUCAAAAAUCAAAAAAUUCAUCGUUAAUGUCAUUAAUGUUUAGAUAAUCAAAAUGUAAUCAUUGCCAAUUAUCCACUAUCCACGUUAAAAUUAUCAUUUGAAAUUAUAUAAUGUAUGAUAGGUAACUUAUUAAAUAAAUUUACUUUAACAGAUUAAUAAUUAAUAUAUAUAUUCCUCGGUCCCAUAAUUUUAAUAGGCAAAAAAGAAAAUUAUUGAGAAUAUUUUGUAUUUAUACAUGGAAAGAGGGAGGAAAAGUGGGAAGAAAGAUAAAAUAUGAACACCAUUAUUGCAAUAGUCAAAAAAGUAAAUUAAAGGAAAUAUCUUAUUCUUAUACAUGAAGGAGGGAGGAAAAGGGGGAAGAAAGACACAAUAUGAACCGCAUUAUUGCAAUAGUCAAAAAAGAAAAUUGAAGGAAAUAUUUUAUACUUAUACAUGGAAGGCGAAAGAAAAGACAUAACCACGUAGGUUAUGUUUAUUUUCGGAAGACAUGAUGUUUUUAGUUGAAAAAUAUUUUUUAAAUAAUUUUUUUUGUUGGUUAUUUGCAAUAUUAAAAAUUAGUUAAAAAUAUUAAAAUUUUAACUCGUAAGAUCAUAAAAAUAUUAAUAAUAAUAUAAAUUUUCUAUUUUGAAAAUUUUAUUGUUAAAUAUGAGAAGAAUGCAAAAAAAAAAUUAAAUUAUGAAAGUUGUCAAUGACCGAUGAUGGUGGCUGAUGGUAACCGAUGGUGGUGAAUGAUAAGUGGUAGUAAUAACUACCAAUGAUUAAUAAAUUAAAAAUUUAUAAGGUUAUAAUAAAUUUAUUAAUAUUGGAAAAAUGUUUUAGACUUUAAAAAAUGGAAAGUCAUUUUUCUUAAAAAUGACUCAUAUUACAAUAGGCAAAAAGGCCAACCAAUAUAGAUUUGAUAAUCUCGUAGGCGCGAACUCAUGCAUGUAAGAUCCUUCAUACUGCAAAAUUUGUAAGUUUAUCCUAAUAGUUUAAUUUAGUAUUUUUUUUUUAAAUCUAAUAAAUUAAAUAAAACUGAAUAUUUCAACUAUUAUGAGGUAAGAUGAAUUUAUUCACCGAAAUUCAAUUUUUUAUGGAAAAAUAUUUUCCAAGAAAAAUAGAAUUCCAAGAAAUUAUUCUAAAAAAUGUCUAAUUAUCGUAAGAUAAUCAUAAAUAUCUUGUAAAAUGAACAACAAUAUUAUUUUACAAAAUAUAGAAAAUAUGAAAAGUAAAAAGUCUGGAUACUAUUUUUGACAAAAAGUUUAUAAAUAUAUCAAUCAAUAUCAUAUCAAUUAACUUGAUAAUAAAAAUUCUUAAUUGCGAAAUCUUUAAACGAACAUCAUAUUAAAGAAAUUACAAAAGAACAAUAAAGAAAAAUCAUAUAAAUGAGAUUUGUUUGUCUCAAACCCUAAUAGAUACGAAUGCAACCUAUAAACAUGCAAAUCUAGAAAUUGAAAAAGACCCUAAUAUAUCCGUAAUGCCAUUUCAUAGCGGUAUUAAUUGUUGGGUUAGUCAUUGGAAAUGUCCCUAACAUUUUUCUUUGGGUGCCAACUUACUAAUUUAUAUGAGCGUGGAUUGACAUCUAAACUUAAUUUUAAAAAAAAAUUUAAUGUUUUUUUUAAAAUUUUUAAGGCGAUUCAUUGAAUCUCUAAUUGUAUUGAUUCAACACUUUAAUUUUACACAAUAAACUAGUCGUCUUCUUGGGCUCGUGUGGGAUGUAUAAUAUUUAGAAACAAAAUUGUUAUUUUUAAUAUAAUUAAUAAUUAUUUUUAAGAAUCCAAAUAUCCAAUAUUAUACUUAAUAAUAUAAAAAAAAUAAAAUAAAAAAUAAAUUUUUUAAUAGAUUCUUGCAAAACGAUCAAUGUAUUGGCAUAUGUAUACAUCAAUCAAGUUUAUAAUAACGUUUAAAAUUUCUAAUUUUUAUAAGUAUUUUAAUCGAUUUUAACAUAUUUUUUUAAAUAUCAAUUAUUGAAUUCAUUUUGAACAAAUAUCUAAAAUUUGGCAUAUACAUUAAGUUUUUAAAAAAAUUUCAUCAAAGUUUAUCCUAAUUUGGAAUAGGUUGAGAAGUACUGUAAUCUCCCUUUACAAAAUAAAACAUAAACAUCAAUUUUGUUAUUAAUAUUUAUCUAUUUCACAUAUUAAUGAUAUUAGAAAAUGAAUUUUAAUUUCAUUAAAAACAAGCAUUGUGAAAAAUUAUGAUAUAAGUGACAUUUUGCUUAACAAAAAUAAACACUUAAUUAUAAUAACAAUAAAUAAAAUGCUUUUAUAUGCAUUAAAUAUGCUAAUUGUUAUGAAUAAUUUAUUAUUAAUCACAAAAUUAUACUUUUGUUGAUCAUCGGAAAUUGAAUACACUUUGUAACUCCAUCCCCAUCACCACAUUCAUCAAACUCACAUCAAUAAAAUGACAUAAAAAUAAUCUUAUAUUAUUUGCAAAGAAUUGAUUUUCUUUAAGGUUUCAUUUAUAUUGAAAUAGAUAUAUAUACAAAUUCUGCAAUAGUGGAAAAAGAAAAAUAUAGAGAAUAAAUAUUAAUAAUUUUGUUAAUUAUUUUAGAAAAAGAAGUAAAAAGUUUUUAAAAUAUUAAUGAAAUUAUUAAUUUAAUUAUUUAUUUAAAAACUGAAAAUAUUAUCAAUGGUAUUAAUUAACAACUCUAUUAAUUAUAUUUAAAAUAAUUUUUAAAAAUAUAAAAAAUUAUUUCCAACUUAAUGUAUAGGCUAUCAUUUUGCCAUAUAAGCAUCUUAAUACUCUAAAAUUGUGCCACAAAAUUUUGUGUACCUUAACUUUUAUCUAUUUAUAUAAAUAGAUAUAUAUUUAAUAAGUAAUGUUUUGCGCAUCUUACUAUUAUUAUUAUUAUUAUUAUUAUUAUUAUUAUUAUUAUAUGUUGAUUUAGAAUAAGGUAUUUAAUUACAAUAAUAGACUAGACAAUUAUUUUUCUUUUGAACUAAUUUUUAGAGAGUGAGUUAAACCCGGUCUAUUUUAUUAUCAUGGUGUCAAAAUUCAGAGCUCAUCCUACUACUAUUGAGCCAUUAACUCUAAAUGUUCAUGCUUGAUUAAAGUAUAAUCCAUUUUGUUAAUACUUUUAAAACAAAUUAUUCAACAAUUGUUUUGUUUUUUUUUAAUUAUUUGAUAAAUAUUUAAUAAAUAAUUUUACAUGUUGAAUUGCUUAAUAAAAGUAAUUUCUACACAUUGAAAGUAUUUAAUAUAUAUAAAAUUUUACAAUAAAGACCUCAGAUAACUUAUGCAUUUGUCAUUUAUAUAAUUGUUACCUUCGAAUCUUAAUCACGUGUCUUGACGAGAAAGCUUGUGUCAAGUCAGUACUAGCAUACACAAUAGGUUUAUGAUGAAAGCUUUUAAAUGGCAUCCAAUUGUAUUAGUUUAAUCGUAAAGAAUUGAGAUUCUUAUUUUUGGUUAAUUAUAUAUUUGGAUUCUAUAUUAUGAAAGAAAUAUUUAUAAAAAUAAUAUUUUUAAAUUUAAGCAUAUCUUUAAAAAUUAAUUUAAUUUCAUAAAAAAAUUAAUCAAAUGUGAUCUGAUCAGUGUUAUUAUAAAAUUUUUAUAUUAUGGCAAAUUAAGAACGCUAUCAUAUUAUAUACUCUGUAAUAUUAUUUUAAUCUAUUAAACUUCAUAAUAAAUAAAUAAAUAAAUAAAAAGAAAGAAAAAUAAUAGAUUUGAUAGGCUUUUUUUAUUUAUAAACUACCGGUAUCCGGAUUUUAUUAUCAAGGACUAUUUAAUCCGGCUUGGGAUUUAAUUACAGUUAAGGCUCCCCACCCCUCUCUGUAGAUGCGUUUAGUAGGAUUCGAAUCCAAAAGUUCUUUCUAUAUGUUCAGCAUGCAUUGUCAACUGUCUUCUAGCACAAUAUGUAGAUAGUUUUUUUUUUUUUUUUUUUUUUUUAUGUAGGCUGAUAUAGCAUCAAAGAUUUUAAUUGACUACUGUUACCUUAAUUUUAAUUAAUUGAUUACCGGAAAAAAUAAUAAUAAAAUAAAACACAGAGGGGACAAAAUAAAUUACCAUUGAUAGAAAAUGGUUGUAAGAGUAUAAUAAAUAUGGCCAUGGAAAAGAGACAAUAUAUCAGUCAACUGAAAACAAAAAAGCCACAUUAAAAAAUAGUGCAUGGAUAACGUUCUUUCUUUUUUUUUUUUUUUUUUUUUUUUUUUGAAAAUAAGAAAGAAUGAUAUCCCAAAACUUUGAUCACAUUUGAUCUUCUACUAAUAAAUAAAUAAAUAAUAUUCACAUAAUUGCAUUUAGUAAUUAUAAGUUUAUUAAACUCAAAUUAUUAAGCUCUAGAGUACAGAUUCAAUCACGGCUCUAUAUUUUCAUAAUUUAUUUUAAUGAGAGAUAUAUAGUUGUUAUUAAAAUAUAAAAAUAUAUAAUUAUAAUGGAUUUUGGAUUUUCCAGGGCUAUAAGAAUAAUCGCGGAAAGUAUGAGAUUAAAUUAAUGCAUUAGCCCCAUUGCUUGUUGUGUGCAAAAUUACCGAUCGAACCAAACUGAAAAUUGAAUCUACCUAUUUUGGUUCAGUUUGUUUUGGUGUUCAAGAGAGAUUUGGUUAAUUGGUUCAUUGGAUUUGAAGCAAGCUUAUUAUUUGAAUCGACUCGGUCACAAAAAUUCAUCGAUUGGAUUUAAAAUUGAACCGAAAUGGCAAAAAAUAAAAAAUCAAAAUAGACCAAACCUACUGGUUCGGUGAAAAAGUUUAUGGAUCGAUUCGGUUCGAUUUAAAUUGAACGGGUCGUUUGCUCACUCUUUAUUGUUAGCAUACUCAAAUGCAAGUGCAUGUGACCAUUAGGAUCCCAACAAACUGCAAUCUACUCUCAUCAAUGCCGCUCCAUUAUUGUUUGCUAUUUUUCUUAGAAAAUAUCAUCUUCUGUGUCCUCAUUAAUUGCAUUUGAGCCUUCAACCUUUUUUUGUUCUGUAUUAAUUAUUUGCUUUCUUAUUUUUUUCACAAUAAAAUAUUAAAUUUAUAAUAAAAAAAUUUUAGUAAUUAUAAUUAAAAAUAUUACUACCAAAUCAUGUUGUGUAAUACCCAUACUGAGUAUUCUUUUUAGAAUAUGGAAAUACUUUUUUUAUUUUUGGUAUAUAAGCCCAUCCAUAUAUUUCAUUUAUUUUUUAAAAACUAUCUUUUUUUUUUUCAAGUUCAUAAACUUAUUAUCGGAGAAUUGUUUGCUCUACAUGGAGCCUUUGAUAUAUAUUUUUUACUUCAAAAAAUUUGAUUAAAAAAAUAAUCAUACAAUCUAUGGGUUAUGAUUCAGUUGGUAAUACAAAUUGGAUAUUCGGAAAGAGCGCUCAAGUUCGAUUGCCACUAAACGCACCUACAGGAAGGAGCGAAAAGUCAUAACUGUAACUAAAUUCUAAAUCGAAAUAGGCGAUUCUUAAUAAUAGUUUGAAUACUGAUGGUUUAAAAAAAAAACUUAAUGAAUAAACUUUAAUAUUUUUAAAUAAACUUAACGAAUUUCUAAUGAAUGUCAUCAUAACAGAUUCAAUAAUAUUAGAACAAAAAAAUUGUGCAGAAAAAGAAAUAGAUAUUCAUUAUUUUAUUUAUUAUUGGUGAUAAAUCUCAUUAAUGUCACUAUUUAUUAUUGUGGGUGUUUUUUUUUUUUUUUUUGACAUUAUUUAUUUUGGCUGUUAGUAUGACUUUCACCCAUAUACAUACCUCACUCUGCGCUAAGAUUUCUUUUGUGCCCAGUGAAUAGAACAAUGGGUCUGGGUAUUACCAAUUUACGAUAAUUAAAAGGAGAAAGAAUCUAAUGUAUUCUGGACCACCUGAUCUUCAGGUCUUGGUGGCUGUGCCUGUGAUUAUUGGUCGGUCUUGUGUCCCAUCCCAUCCAAAUAAUUACUUUGGCAUUUGAUUCUUCGGCGAGCUGAUUUGUAUUUGCUAACUGAUUUGAAUUUAUAUUAAAUUUUAUAAAAUUUAUUAAUGUAAUUUUUGAAUUAUUAAUUUUAUAUAAUUAGUUUGUUCAUAAUUAAAUAAAAUAAUAAAUAACUAUUAAACAUUAUUGUAAAAAAUUCAUUAAAGUGUUUUAUUUAUAUGGCAUGCUAGAAUAAAGAAAUGCAAAAAUACCGUAAAUUUUAUCUUUUAUAGCAAUCUCAUUCAAAAUUAAUUUUUAUGACAAUUGUAAUCCAAAUUUUAUAUUUUAUAGCUAUUACAAUCUAUAUAUUGAAAUUGGAAUUGGAACCGAAAUUUCAAAUAAAACAUGAAUUUUUUCGUUGAUCCUAUGUUGGAGCUUGGGUUAAUUUAACCUAAGUUUAUAGCAAAUUUGAAAAUGUCCGCUUUAAUACUCCUCCGUCCCAAAAAAAUAAUACAUCUUUUCUUUUUAGUUUGUUCCAAAAUAUAGUCCUGUCACGACCCAUUUCCAUGGGCCGGACCGGCACUAGGGCCCAGGUAAGCUUAAGGCCCCCGAAGCCCGUAGUAAGCCUGAAACACUACAAAUUUGCUAUCUCAAUAUAAUUUUAAACAUUUACAAAUUUCGCUGCUUACAAUACGCUAUAUUUAUAAUACGGGCUCACAGAAUUAUUCCAUCUAUAAUAAUACACAACUUAAAAGUAUACAAAUUCUAUAACUGCGGAGUUCAUUGACGGAUGUAUACAUAUAAGUCUUCGGACAUUUAUCUAUUUAAUUGAUCAAUACGAAAAUUAGCGAAUUUCUUUUUUUAUAGUGAAGAGCAGAGUUAUAGCUGGGAUUUAGAAAAUGCUACUUCCUGAAAGAUUUAAACAAAAGAGAUGUGAGUUUAUUAAUGAAUAAUAAUUAUUGCACAACNNNNNNNNNNNNNNNNNNNNNNNNNNNNNNNNNNNNNNNNNNNNNNNNNNNNNNNNNNNNNNNNNNNNNNNNNNNNNNNNNNNNNNNNNNNNNNNNNNNNNNNNNNNNNNNNNNNNNNNNNNNNNNNNNNNNNNNNNNNNNNNNNNNNNNNNNNNNNNNNNNNNNNNNNNNNNNNNNNNNNNNNNNNNNNNNNNNNNNNNNNNNNNNNNNNNNNNNNNNNNNNNNNNNNNNNNNNNNNNNNNNNNNNNNNNNNNNNNNNNNNNNNNNNNNNNNNNNNNNNNNNNNNNNNNNNNNNNNNNNNNNNNNNNNNNNNNNNNNNNNNNNNNNNNNNNNNNNNNNNNNNNNNNNNNNNNNNNNNNNNNNNNNNNNNNNNNNNNNNNNNNNNNNNNNNNNNNNNNNNNNNNNNNNNNNNNNNNNNNNNNNNNNNNNNNNNNNNNNNNNNNNNNNNNNNNNNNNNNNNNNNNNNNNNNNNNNNNNNNNNNNNNNNNNNNNNNNNNNNNNNNNNNNNNNNNNNNNNNNNNNNNNNNNNNNNNNNNNNNNNNNNNNNNNNNNNNNNNNNNNNNNNNNNNNNNNNNNNNNNNNNNNNNNNNNNNNNNNNNNNNNNNNNNNNNNNNNNNNNNNNNNNNNNNNNNNNNNNNNNNNNNNNNNNNNNNNNNNNNNNNNNNNNNNNNNNNNNNNNNNNNNNNNNNNNNNNNNNNNNNNNNNNNNNNNNNNNNNNNNNNNNNNNNNNNNNNNNNNNNNNNNNNNNNNNNNNNNNNNNNNNNNNNNNNNNNNNNNNNNNNNNNNNNNNNNNNNNNNNNNNNNNNNNNNNNNNNNNNNNNNNNNNNUUCUAUUGAAAUUUCGGCAGCACUUCCCCUAAAAAUUGAACUAUCCACCUAUUUAGAUAUCACAAUAUUAUCAUAUAUUUCUCAAUCAUACACACAGCCCAUCCGUCGGGCAAUCAAUCAGCUUAAUUCCCAUCCUCCUUUCAAAGCAACCAUGUCAAGAAUAAGACUCGUAUGCACUUAAUGUAUGUGAUCAUCCAUACACCAAGUCAAUUUAAAAAAAAAAAGUUCUAAAUGUUUAAUAUUGUUUUAUCGUUUUCUAUCCGUUUUCAUUUGUGCAAAAAAAAUUGUUUUUGAUUGGAUGUGUAAAUGAGACUCCUGCACCUGAGUCCAUAUCAUGUAAUGUUUGGAGAAGCUUUUGUUCAGGAAAAACGGCAACGCGCCAAUACAAUGCACAAUGAAAUUUACACCACAAAAUUUAGCUGAUGAUAAUAACAACAUAAAAGGAACCACACUUUUUUUUUUUAUUAACUACCAAAGGUAUAAAGGAACCACAUUUUGAAUGUGCAAAACAACGUUUUUAAUUUAAUGUUUAACUCCAAUUAGAGCCUAUAAAAAGCUGAGCAAAGGCACUCUCCCUGCUCACAGUGUCACACUUGCCACAAAAUAAUCAACCAUACCCAGAAUUAGCAGGUUUAAGAAAAUAUAAAAUGGAAGUUUCAGCAGUUCCUGCUCUUAUUCAUACUGUUAAAACUGAUGUUGAUCGUCGCUCUGCAAAAUUUCACCCUAAGAUUUAGGGUGACUAUUUUCUCUCCUACCACUCUAAUCUUAUGGUAUUAUAUAAAAGAACUAUGCUUGCUGUUCAAAUUUAAUUGUAUCCAUUUUUUUCUGUAUUUAUUUUUAUAGUUUCAUAAAUUUCUUAAGAAAACAUUAGCGUUCAAAUUUUUUUUUUUUUUUUUUUNNNNNNNNNNNNNNNNNNNNNNNNNNNNNNNNNNNNNNNNNNNNNNNNNNNNNNNNNNNNNNNNNNNNNNNNNNNNNNNNNNNNNNNNNNNNNNNNNNNNNNNNNNNNNNNNNNNNNAGGAAGGCAGCGCGACUGCACCUAUUGCGAGCAGCUCCUGGGUUUGCUGUGCCAACCGGAACAGGAAGGGGAGAGUGAAGAAGAGACCGAAGCUUCUUCGUCGACAACAGGGAAUCGACGCCGCCGGAAAAUCAGGCAGGAGGAAGCUCGACGCGAUCUUCCGAUCGAAGGGUGUCGCGGCACUCCUGCACCUUCUGCGUACGCCAGAGACGAAAGAGAGAGGAGAAGGGAAGCCGGGAUCCGCUGCGACGUGGACGCGAUGGCGAGGAGGCACAGCGCUGGUCUUCGGUUGUCGGAAAAAGAAGAGGAGGAGGAGGAGGAGGUCGCGCGCUGGCGCUGGCGCAAGGAAGAAGAAGGGAAAAAAAAGAAAAAAAGAAGGAAAAGAAAGAAAAAGAGACAAAAAAAAAAAAAAAAAAAAAAAAAGAAAAAAAAAUCUUNNNNNNNNNNNNNNNNNNNNNNNNNNNNNNNNCGAACCGGUUUGGUCUAAUUCAAUGAUUCGGCUCGAUUUUUGUUCGGUUUGCUGGUUUUUCACUUGGUUUUUAGGUUAUUCGUGUGGUUUUCGAAAAAUCAAUUUGAGUUUCGGGUCCGGUUCAAUUUAUUUUAAUUAUUUUAAUUAGGUUUCAUAACAUUUCCUCCAUUAACUAAAUAAAAAUAAAAAAAUAUAGUUAGUAAUCAUAUUUGAAUUUUAGGAAAAUUAAUUUAUAUAUAGUAAUCACACACAUAUACAUACACAUUUUUAAUAAUUUAAUAAUUAGUGCUCCAUAUUUACUCUUAAAAAAAUUUCUAAAGGUUCUCCACUUGGCAAAUAUUUAAUAAUAUGCUUUGGGCUUGAGCCCGACUCCGUAAACUUGGGCUCGAAUUGAAAUUGUUUGGUAUUUAUAGCCCAUAUAGUUGAAAAUCGAGAUUUUUAAUUUAAUAAAAAUUCGAAAGUUUUGAAAAUAAAAAUUCGGGAUGUUUCAAGUCCACUCUCAUUUUUUACAUUAUAGUUAAUCUUUAAAUUGUCUAUUACACCAUUAUUAAACUUUAUCUUAUUUUCAAUAACCCUGAUUAAUUCUUACUUAUUAUUCUAAUAUAAUAAUUGCUCGCGUAUUAUUUAAGAUGACCAUAAUAAAAAAAUUAUAUAAAUAAAAUUAUCCUUUAAUCAUAAUAAUUGCUAUUUUAUUAAAAUGUGAAAAUAAAAAGUAAACUAUCUUUUUAGAAUGGAAGAAGUAAUAAAUUGAGAGACAAUGUAUAAGAGAAAAAUCACUUUUUUAACGUUUCUUUUUUACGGAGAACACUAAUUUUGAGAGAUAAAUAAAAAGUUAAUUUACAAAUUUGGUUCAAACACCCAAUUAUAUAUAUAUAUAUAUAUAUAUAUAUAUAUAUAUAUAUAUAANNNNNNNNNNNNNNNNNNNNNNNNNNNNNNNNNNNNNNNNNNNNNNNNNNNNNNNNNNNNNNNNNNNNNNNNNNNNNNNNNNNNNNNNNNNNNNNNNNNNNNNNNNNNNNNNNNNNNNNNNNNNNNNNNNNNNNNNNNNNNNNNNAUAAUAUAACUAAGAGAAAUUCAUGUAACUACUUAGACCAUUAUAUUCCUUAUCAAGUGUAAAAGUCAUAGUCUAAAUACCGAGAAAAAUUGACCUCAGUCAUAAUUUAAUAAUUUUUUUUAAAAAAAAUCAUAGUUAGAUAAUUAUGUAACUCUUGGUCAUAAUUUGAAAAUUUCAAGAAAUAUUUCAAGCAUAAAAAAUACUAUAUUAUUAAUUUAUUUAUUUAGUUGCUAAAAAAUAAAGAAUCCACUGUUAAUGUUUAGAUAAUCAAAAUAUACUCACUGCCCAUUAUCCACAUUAAAACUGUCAUUUGAAAUUAUAUAUUGUAUAAUAGGUAACUUCUUAUAUAAAUUUACUUUUAAUUAAUAAUUAAUAUGUAUACUUCUCGGUCCCAUAAUUUUAAUGGGCAAAAAAAUAAAAAAGGAAUUCUAUCCCUCUUGUUUAUUGGAUUUAUUUCCUUGAUUAAUGCAAUAAUAUUAUCUUUGAAAAAAAAAUUUUAAUUGGCAAAAAAGAAAAUUAUUGGGAAUAUUUGGUAUUUAUACAUGGAAAGAGGGAGGAAAGCUGAAGAUCCAAUGAUAAUAUUGGUGAAAUCAAAGGCUUUGAUGAUUUUAGGGUGGUUCUUUGAUUUGUUCUUGGCUAGGAGCCAAAUUUCUAUAGUCGGUUGCUUUCACUCAUCAAUUGAAUAGGCCUCAACAUCCAGUAUGAGCUGGAAAAUCAAAUUAGUAGGGUUAUUUUGAUGCGCAGACUAUAAAUAAUCGUUAGCUUUUAGAGGUUGCUGUCGGAAACUUGCUAGAUUUGUCAGUCUUACAGUCACUGAAAGUAGAGGAUUCAUUAUUAACACUCAUAUUCCCAGAACUCCUUCCUAUGUAAGUCGUACAAUUUUCUGUCUCCAUCAAGAUAGUAUUCUAAUUUCGCUAUACCAAAUAUUGAAGCUUUGGAAAAUUAUUGCUCUAAUUUGAUUGGAAACAUACAUUUUGAUUAAUGACAACAAAGAAAACAAUGUUGCAGAGAGAAAUUUUUUCUAAUUUUCUUUUUGAUUUGGUUUUAUUUUGACUUAUAUUAGCUGGUUAGAGUUUUGAUUUUUAGGUUUUAAACUUUUGGUGAUACCGAUGGUUAACAGUGGUAGUUGGUUUUGGAUUAUAUAGAGACAUGGUCAAUUGAUGAUGGCGACAACGAUUUUCAAAGAGAUAGAAUGUAGCUGUAACUGUGGUUGUGGUUUUUGAAAUGGAUAGCUUUUUUGGGAAUUUUCAAAGAGAUAGUAUUUAUACCAAACAAUCUUUUUCACCUUUAACAAUGAGAUAAAUUUUUUAACUAUGAAGAAAAGAAAUAAAAAGAUACAAACUUUGACUAAAUUGCAGUAUGCAACAUGCAUGUGCCUCUCCCACGCGUCUUAGUCUGGGCUCCACUGACUUGUCUCCCAUUAGUGUUAUGGAGUGCCUUAAAUCAUGAGGUUUGACUAUUGGUGUAAAUUUUAGUCCAUGUUUCAUUAAAACAUUUUACUUUUCACUGACCAUAAUAUGACCUGAAUGAUGACAGCUCCAAGAUCUUGCAACUAAAAACAUUGGGGCUAUGAAAUUUAAUGGAUACUCUAAUUGAAGAGCUGCAAAUGUUUCAGAAUGUUACCAGCACUCUAUCGGUGGACUUCAUCAAUUAUGUGGAUGAAGAAUAUUCCAGAAUUGCUAGAAUUAAAAAAAAAAAAAAAAGAAAAAAAAAAGAAAAAUUCAACCCAUUGGCUUUGUAUUCUUUUAGUUUGAAUUUCAUAUUUUGAGAAUUGAACUUGCAGGUCGAAGUAGAAGUCUAACAUGAUUAAAGAUCUUCCACCAACUGCAACAAGCCCUUAAGAUACAAUGCCAACGCACAACUGCAGAAACUUAUAAAUAGAUUAGCUAGUAUGAGUGCUAAUAGCCAAGUAACAGCCAAUAAUAGCUGAUUCUCUCCACUACUAUGAUGCUGUGAAUUGAAAACUGAAGUCAACCAAAAUCCCAAAGUAACGCACGAAAUUAGAAACUUCUUUACCUAUUGUCAAUUUCCAUUUGCCAUACUAAUUGACCCUAAUCAGAGUUUUUGUCUUGAAUUCUUCUCCCAUAAUUCAGUGUUUGCCGCCUCUACUAUAUCCUUGUCCGAUUCUUUCCUUCUUUCAUUCCUUCUUUUCGCUUUCCUAUAUUCUUUCCAAUAUAUAGAAUGAAUGCCACAAUUGAUCAUCCUCCCACUAAUGACUUCACCUUUUCCGGAAUAAUUUACAGAGACAUAAUCAACAUGGAAUGAGACUCGAGUGAAAUUCCAUUUAUGAUCAAAAGAUUCAUACCCAAGGAAAACAUAUUUUGAAUCCAACUUGGAAGGCCCAAGACUUUGACCACGAAAGUUAAGGACAUACUCAUCCAUCUUUCCAGAUUUACCUUGGAAGCUCACAGAACCUAUAAUGUCAUAUGAAUCCAAAUCAAAAUCUUGGAAAUCUAUAACAGCGGCAAAAUAAAAACCCAAUAUACGAUCAGGCCUUUUCAAUUGAACUGAAAGAUGAGACCUACUUGUUCGAUAUUUCAUACUUUGCACCACUUCCACCCAAGGGAUACAUAAAUUAUGGUCCUGCUCCAUGAAAAUAUAUUUGGUUAAAGAAUAUCAUAAUUAAUUAACGAUAGAGCUGAAUUUAAAUAGCUGAUGAAUGAGUAAAUAGAUAAUUUAUACACAAAUUUUAAAAAACGCUCAUAAUGACUAUUGAAAUCUUUUCGUGAUAUAUAGUUGAAUUUUAUUAUGUUUAUCUCUCUUCCAUUGUCAAAGCAUAAAUUAAUUAUGAAUUCACAAGUUAGGAAAAUAUUUCAUUGAUGUUUAUCAUCAAAAAUCUUAAUUAACAAUUUUUUUUUAAUAAGCACUUCUUUAUUAAUUUAAUAUUAGAGAAAAGAAACGUACGUCUCGGCCUUGCUGUGCUGAGAACGGGGCUUCCGUAAUUUGAAGACGUACAUUAUCACCCAUUUUGAUGCAGAUACUAAAAUUAAGCAUAAGGGUGCAAAGAAGGUCAUCUUCUGUUUCUGCCUUAGGAAAAGGACGAAAACGAUACAAAUUCUAAAGAGGUGCAAUUUGAUGCAGAAAGUGAACUUAUGCCUGGAAGCUCUGGCAAAUAUCUAAGCCUCUUGCAAUCAUCCAAGCUAAGAGUGUCCAAGUAAGAAAGUUGUUUGAUGCUUGCAGGAAGGCUUUCGAAAUCGUUUCCAUCUAAAUAUAAGAAUGUCAAUGAAACUAAUGAUCCAAUACUCUCUGGAAUUUCUGAUAUACCACAGUUACCCAGAUAAAGCCACUGUAGCCUAUUCAAUCCGGACAACGAAGAAGGCCAUACCGUCAAACCUUUACAUCCCUCAAAAUAUACAUGUUCCAAUCGGCUCAAUUGAUUGAAAGAGGAUGGUAAUGUUUUUAUGCCACUCCCACUUGCGUAAAGUUCCUUCAGAGAUUUUAACUGGCCAAUGCAGUCUGGAAGAUUUUGAAGCUUUGUACACCAGCUUAACGAUAAUGCAACAAGUUGAGAGCAAUGUCCAAUUGAUGAAGGCAAUUGUUUUAUUGCAGUUUCAUCUAAAUUUAAUUUCCUUAAAUUGCAAGGAAGCUCUGGACAUUCUUCAAGUUUACUGCAACCUCGAAGAUUAAGAAUCUCAAGAUUUUCUAACUGAAGAAAGCUUGGCAAACUGCGAAUACUUUCACAGUAGUCUAAGUGUAGCCGAACAAGCUUGGUUGAAUAUUUAAGAGAUGAAGGAAUCUCAAUUAAACUGCUACAACUUGACAAACAUAAUUCCUCAAGGUUUGGGGCUUGAAAUGGGUCCGAAAUUCUAAUCAAGGACUUAGAGUUGCUGAGGUACACAACUUUCAAACUUUUGAACGGCUGUAAUAAAAAGAGCAAGAAUAUAAAUUAUUACAAUUUCAUGUUUUACAUAAAUUUGUUAUUUAUCGAAAAAAUAAUAAUUUCACAACUCAUCCAAUGGUGGAACCAUAGAUUUUAUGUUAUAUAUAUAGUUUGAGAAAAUGAUCAAUGAGGAAUGUAGCUUGGUGGAAAAUCUCUUGAUUGUCGUACCUUGUAACCAAGUCUGAUAUCUUAGUAAAAGCAUAAUUUAUAUUUAUAUUUUUAUUUAUAUUUUUAAUAUUCUUAUUAUUUAUUUUAAAUUUACAAUAACUAAAACAUAAAGCCAAAUACUCACAAAAAAUAAAUUCUAAAAAUUGUAUGUUAAUAGAAUUGUAUUUGACACAUCAUCUGUUCUUUAAAAAAGUCAAAGUAUAUUCUUAACAUUUGAAUUUCUUUAGUUUGGACUAAUCAUAUAUUGGUUGAUCAAAAUUUUUAUUACUCAUCACUAAUAUUUAGAAUUUAAGAUGAAAUUAAAAAGUCUCAUUUAAUUCAAUGAUUUGACCUUUAACUAUAUUAAGACCAAUUUGUGAAAAUGUAUUGGACAUAAAACAGUUGUAAAUGAUUCAUUAAGAAAAUUUAAAAUUUUAUUUCCUUGGAAACGCAUUUAAGAAUAAUUAUUAGUUUAAUGAUUACAACAUAUUAUUUCUUUUUAUGAUAUUCUUCAGGGGUUUUGGUGGCUGUGAUUAUGGGUUGGUCUCGUGUCCCGUCCCAUCCAAAUAAUUACUUGGCAUUUGAUUCUUUAGCGGCUGAUUUGUAUUUGCUAACUCAUUUGAAUUAAUAUUAUAUUUUUAUUAAAUUUUAUAAAAUUUAUUAAUGUAAUUUUUGAAUUAUUAAUUUUAUAAAUUAGUUUAUUCAUAAUUAAAUAAAAUAAUAAAUAACUAUUAAACAUUAUUGUAAAAAAUUCAUUAAAGUGUUUUAUUUAUAUGGCAAGCUAACAUGAAGAAAUGCAAAACUACCGUAAAUUUUAUCUUUUAUAGCAAUCUCAUUCAAAAUUAAAUUAAUUUUUAUGACAAUUGUAAUCCAAAUUUGAUAUUUUAUAGCUAUUACAAUCUAUAUAUUGAAAUUGGAAUUGCAACUGGAAUUUCACAUAAAAAAUGAAUUUUUUCGAUGAUCCUAUGUUGGAGCCUGGGUUAAUUUAACCUAAGCUCAUAGUAAAUUUGAAAAAUGUCUGCUUUAAUACUCCUUCGUCUCAAAAAGAUAAUACAUCUUUUUUUGUUUAUUUAUCUUAGAAUAUAGUCAACUCUCAUUUUUUGCAUUAUAGUUAAUCUUUAAAUUGGCCAUUACACUAUUAUUAAACUUUAUUUUAUUUUCAAUAAAUGCUGAUUAAUUCUUAUUUAUUAUUCCAAUAUAAUAAUUGCUUGCGUAUUAUUUAAGAUGAACAUAAUAAGAAAAUUAUAUGAAUAAAAUUAUCCUUUAAUCAUAUAAUAAUUGCUAUUUUCUUAAAAUGAGAAAAUAAAAAGUAAACUAUCUUUUUAGAAUGGAGGAAGUAGUAGAUUGAGAGAUAAUGUAUGAGAGAAAAAUCAUUUUUUUAAUAUUUCUUGAUUAGGGAGAACACUAAUUUUGAGAGAUAAAUAAAAAGUUAAUUUACAAAUUUGAUUCAGACACCCAAUUAUAUAUAUAUAUAUAGAAAUGUUCAAGAAAAGGAAAGUAUGUUAAGAAUUUUCUCAAAAUAAGUAGAAACAUUACUUCUUUAAUUACAUGCUUUCACUAUCUUUUUCUUUUCUGAUGAUGCCAUAAUUAUAUCAAGGGGGAAAAUCCCAAAAAGAAAAAAAAAAAAAAAAAAAGAGAAAGCGCGACCUCACCAGAAUAAAAUUGAGCCAUCCCACACUUUAUUAUCCCUCUCAAAAAAUAAUCACAUCCACAAAAGCUACAGUUCUACAGAUUCUUUCUUCUCUUAAUAAUCACAGUUUGUUUGUUUCCCUUUUUAAUUCAAAUUUCACAGAUUCUUUACUUUCCUUCAAAUCUCUCCAAUUCCAUAUUUUCCUUUCCUUUUCUCUCUUUUUUUCUCUUAAAUCUCUCUUAAUUACCUCAGAUUCCUGCCAAAAUUCCUUUCUCCCUCCCUCUAAAGCUCCUGUUUUUCAGAAUCAUUGUCAAAGUUAUUCCCUUUCUACGGCUUUUAACGUGGGAGAUAUGAAUUGAAGCUGAAUUGUGAUUGAUUUUUUAAUUAGUUUUAUCUGACUCCAUCUCUCUUUGUUUGAUUUUUUCAAUGAGAUUGGCUUAUUCUCAAAAAAAACUCUUUAUGCUUAGAAUUUAAUUUUAGUAUAUGCUUUUUUUUAAUAGCAACCAAUUUGAAUUCUCUUUUUUGUUGUUCUAUAACAACUUUUUAAAUAAUAACACUAAAUACUAUUUUUUACUGUGUAAGAUAAAACAUUUAAAUUAGAUUUUAGAUUCAAUUUUAGAUUUUAGAUUCAAUUUUAGACGUUAAGAUAAAAAAGUUAAUUUAUUUAACUUGUUUAAAUUUUAAUAUUUUAUUAAAAACUACUCAAUAGUUAACUCACUUAGAACUAUUUAACUCACUUAGAACUAUUUAAACAGUUAACCGCUAUUAAACAAUUAAAACAAUUAACCGUUUAAAUUUUGGUUUUAAGUUUUAAUUUUGGUUAUAGUGGUAGUUGGUUUUGGAUUAUAUAGAGACAUGGUCAAUUGAUGAUGUCGACUACGAUUUUCAAAGAGAUAGAAUGUAGCUGUAGCUGUGGUUUUUGAGAAGGAUAGCUUUUUUGGGAAUUUUCAAAGAGAUAGCUGUGGUUGUGGUUUAUACCAAACAAUCUUUUUCACCUUUAACAACGAGAUACAUUUUUUAACUAAAAGAAAAGAAACAAAAAGAUACAAACUUCGACUAAAUUGCACAUAUGCAACAUGCAUGUGCCUCUCCCACGCGUCUUAGCCUGGGCUCCACUGACGUGUCUCCCAUUAGUGUUUGGGAAGGGUUGCGUAUGCCCUAUGGAGUGCCUUAAAUCAUGAGGUUUGACUAUUGGAUAGAAGUCUAUUCAAGAAGUAUGUGGGUUACAUUUAUUUUUAACUUUUUCCUCCUAAGCAGCAGCAUAGAAUGAGAUAUUUGAAGUCUAUUUGAGAGUGGUUUGGUGGUUUUAUAAAGCCUGAGUUGUGGCGUGCUACUGGGCGGACUAUAUGACGGCGGCGAAGUCUACUUAUAGCUUUCCCAAAUAGUAGAGACUGAGGAGGAGUAAAUGGGUCCUUGUUCAUUGGCAUUGUGAAGGAAAAUGAGAAGGAACAAUCUGCACAAACCAAGUCAUUUGUUAGAUCUUUAUCUUUUGAUAAAUAUUUUUUCUUGGAAUAAUUUCAAGCCUCCAAACCUUCACAGUUCCCAAGAAGGCGGGACCAUCUUCUCGCAGUGGAUCGAGUAAAAUUGGGCUAAUUUGUGGUGGUGGGAGGAGGAAGACCAUGAACAAAGGUGUAGAGAAAGAAAGCUUAAGGGCAUCAUUUCUCAUUUUAAAAUAAUUUUCUUAGUUCUCUCUUACUUUUUUUUUAUCUUUUUAACGGAAAACGCUUAUAUUUUUAUUAAGAGACGUUCCUUAUCCGUGUAAUGGAGCUUUAAACCGGUUUUGAAUAUAUAGAGUAGUAAAAAUUUAAACGGAUUUAGAUACGAAUAUUUAAAUGAAUAUUUAAAUGAAUUUGAAACGGAUAUAAAUAGUAAAAUUUUAAAUAAAUACAGAUGCAGAUAGCUUAAAAUUUACAGAUAUCAGCCCGGCUUCCAUCCCACUCUUCCCAAAUUCAACAAAAACGCCCACUGAUUCUCUUUUUCUUCCAUUUAUUUGAUCUCUUCCAUUUAUUUGAUCUGGAAGUAGAACCACCUUAAUUAGUAAAAACUAGAUUUACAUAUAUAAGUACUGAAAAGGCAUUUUAAUUAAGCCCCCUAAUUUAUUGAAUUUUCUCUAUUAAGCCUAGCUCUUAACUUUUGGUGUGCCCGUUGUGGCAUUGUCAAGAAGCAAUUCACUCAAGGGUAUUUUAGCCAUAAAAAUAUUUUCUCUCUCAUUGGACUGCAUUUUAGUGCAUUAACUCACUGUUAAACAAUAAAAAAUUGACAGUAGUACUUAAGAGUAUGUAAUAAUUUAUUUUCAAAAAAAAACUAAGGGUCGACUAAUGUAUUUAAUCAAAUAUAAGAACGUAAUAGUAACUUUUCCUGUCAUUAAUUUUGAGAUGAAAUGUAAAUUAAUUUUGAUUUUAUUAUAAUUUAAGAGAGUUACUUGAUUAUUUAAUCCCAAUACAAAAACCUUAAACGAUUUAUAUUUCAAAACGUAUUUCUCCAUUGUUUUAGAAUCUUUAAACUCACUCAAUUAGCAACUGAACUCGUUUGUUUUUCCACUCUGUCUGUUUAACUAUUAUCAUACGAUAUUUACUCAACAUUUCUUUUUAGAAGAAAUCAAACUAGAAAAUUCAUUUAGAGGAAACUGAAUACAGAUAUGAGGUUCAGUUCAAUAUGUUUCUAUAUUUUUGUAUAAAAAAUUUAUAUUAAACUACUUAUAUAAUGAAUAAAAAAAAUAUCAUCUUGAUUUAAAAUUUUUUAUCGAGUUGACGGAGCCUAAUACUUGUGCUAUAAGCGAUCGCUUGAUCCAUUUAGUGGCUAAUCGUGGUCAUUGUUCGAUUCCAUAGCUUUUCUAUAAAUCUGAUCUGAUCACCUUCAAAUUUCUUUUUUUACUAGAGAAAAAAAAUCUACACUUCUUUCUGCAUAAUCAUCCAAAUAACAAAAUACCCUAGACAAAAUCACCAUAACGGUGACAACAAUAACUCAGAACUAAAUCUGAUAACAAAAUCCUAAAAUAUGGACAACAAUAAAUCUCAAUAUUUUGAUAACAAUAACUUAAAUCUGUAUCAAGAAAUAUAAUCCGAGUAUUAUUUGAAAAAAAUAAAAAAAAAUGGAAAAGGGGUAGCCACCGGUGUUAUGUUGAUUCUAUUGGUUUUAUGUUGGUUUUCUUUCUUAGUUUUCCGUUCUUCAUUCUUUUUUUUUUUUUUUCCUGUCACAAUUGAAUUUGAUUUUCCUGGUAUAAUUUAACCAAUUUUCAGAGUCUACUUCAAAAGGAAGCAAACACCUCGAGGGUCUAAUAUGAAUUACGCACAAAAAGUUCAAACCAGCAAAAUCAAGACACAAGGAUGAGAGUAAAUAAUUACAAGCGUUUAGGCACCAACACAGCAUGAUUAAAGAUCUUCCACCAUCUGCAACGAGCCAUUAGGAUCCAUUGCUAAUGAACAACUACAAAAAAAUAGGAAUAAAUUAGCAAUUAUGAAAGUAAUUAAGCAAAAUGCCAAAAAGAAAACACAAAAUUAGAAAUUUCUUUACCUAAUGUCAUUUUCAGUUUCAUAGCCACAUCCAUUUUGGCUUACUAAUUAUAAUUUUGGCCUUGAUUUCUUCUUCCAAAAUUCAGUGUUCCACAAUCAUCCUUCUCUGGUUAUUCACGAAUCCCGAUACCAUCCUUCUUUGUUUUAAUCAUUUCUAGUUUCGAAAUCAACCGUGUCCUAUAUUGUUUCCAAGAUAUAGGAUGAACACCACACUUAAUCAUCCCCUUGCUAACUUGAACAUAUUUGGCUGUGUUGUAAUCAUAGUCUUCAAUAGCAAACUGGAAUGAAGCCUGAGUGAAACACUCACAGUUGAGAGUUUUGUACAAAAGGAACACAUGUUUUGAAUCUAACUCCUUACUCAUUAGCUCAAUCUCUGGAAAAUGAAAGUCAUAGAUCUUCCCAGAUUUUGCAAGACAUGUUAUCGAACUUCUAUGAGAAUUAAGAAGUUGGGGAUCAAUAACAGCACAAAAACAGAAACCCAAAAUAUCUUCCCUCUCCAGCUUGAAUGAAAGAUGACAUUCACUUGUCCAAUAUCUCAUCCUUGGCAGCACUUCCACCCAAGGGAUAUAUAAUCUAAACUUCUGCAACAUGAAAAUAAAUUUGAUAAAUAUUAUGAAAAUAAAUAGUUCAUCAAAGAGAAAAUAGUUCAUCCAUUUUAUUCUGUCUACCUUUCCAUUAAUUGUAACAUUAGAGAAAAGAAACAUACCUUCUUGUUUAGACAUCCAGACAGAGCAGUUUCCAUAAUUUUGAGACAUACAUCUUUCCCCAAUUUGAUGCAAUUAAGAAAAUCAAGAUAUUCACCAUGCUUCACAUAAAUAUACUUUACAAAUGCUUCUUCAUCUUGAUCUUUUAGGGAAAGGAAAGGAUAUGAUAUAAAUUCUAAGGAGGUGCAAUUGGAUGCAACAAGAGACAUUAACCAUGGAAGCUCUGGCAAAUUUCUUAGCUUCUUGCAAUCACUCAAAUCAAGUACUUUCAACUCAGAAAGUUGUUUGAUGCUUGCAGGUAUGGUUUCAAAACUGUUUCCAUCUAAAUGUAACUCUUCCAACGAAAGUAAUGACCCAAUACUCUUCGGAAUUUCUGAUAGACCACACUUAUUCAGAUAAAGUUGCCGUAGGCAAUUCAAACCGGACAAAGGAGGCAAUUUCGUCAAACCUUCACAUCCCUUACAAAAUAAAUAUUGCAAUUUGCUUAAUUGAUUGAUAGAAGGUGGUAAUGUUUUUAUGCCACUUCAUCCCAAAUAUAAUUCCUCAAGGUUUGGGGGCUUCAAAUGAAUCUGAAACUCUAAUCAAGUACAUAAGAGCCUCUGAGGUCCACGACUUUCAAAUUUCCAAGAGACUGUAAUAGAAAGAGCUAGAAUAUGAAUGAUUAAAAUUUAAUGUUUAAUUUAUAUUUGUUAUGGAAAAGAAAUAAUAAUUUUCACUCUCAUCAAAUCAAUUUUAUAAAAUUUAACUCAAUUAUACCCCAUCUUAUUAUGUUACACUUGAAGUUCAUUUACACCAAAUAGAAAAGUAUUAAACUUUAGGAAAUAUAGCUAAACUUUUAAAAACGUACCUUAUUAUCUCCAUCCCACAGUUGUUUGAGCUGGCUGCUAGGCAAGUGAAGUUCUACAAGAUUAUUUGGGCAAAACUUCAAUGGCAAAGAUUUCAAAGGGUAAAAAUACCAAGAUAAAUAUCAUAGUUGUUCCGGAAGAAAAUCAAGGCCAUGGGGAAGGAUAUUUCUCACUAAGCUGUAAUGAUCAUACAUAUAGAGGAAUCUAAGAUUAGCCAUCCUCAUGAAAGCUGUGGAACUUAUAGAUUCAACCUUAGACAUGACAAAUAAAAUGCACUCAAUCUUUUCAGUUCCUUGAUAAACAAACAACAAAUGAGAAAUGAAUAUCUAUGCAUAUGUAUCAAAAAGAAGGGGUAAUUCAGCACAAAAUAUUAAAAAUAAAUGCUAUUGGAAUCAUCUCUAACUUUAAUUUUGUGGAGUGGUAAGUUCAAAAUUAAUUAAACUCAAAUAAAUAAAACAUUUAACUAUAGCUAUCAGGAGAGUUACACUCCUUGCAAAAUUCAAAUAUAAAAAGAAAAAAAAAAAAAAGUAGCAAAGUUUGCUUUCCUCAUUGACAAUCUCCUUUCUCAUUUGUUGCAGUAAGUUAUGCAUAGAUACUGUAAAGUCUAAAAUGUCUAUGAGAGAUUUAUCAACAAGACUCCUUAUUCCACUUCUCGCCCUUAUUCCACUUCUCGCAAAGAAACCAAAACUUUCUAAUAAUUUUUCAACUUCACUGAUAUGUCUUCCUCGAAACAAACAUGCAAUAUUAAGAAAUAUGCGUUGCUCAUCACUAUCUAACCUUUCAUAACUUACUUUUAGAAUAUCUUGAAUUCUCUUGUUCGGGAUGCUUUUCAAUAUGAGCAACAGGCUCUCCCAAUAUUCUGUCUCCUUCCCAUAAAGACUAGAGCCUAAAACUUUUAGUGCUAAUGGAUUACCUUGAGCAUAACUUAUCACCUGCUGGGAUAGCUCAACACAUCCGUCUUUAGGUUCAUGUUGAUGGAAAGCGUGCAAGCUAAAGAGUUGAAGAGAUUCCUGAUUACUUAAUCCCUUAACCUGAUAAAUAUGUUCUUCAUGGCAAACAUUUUGAAGUACUUGUCUAUCUGUACUAGUUAUAAUGAUUCUCCUUCCCUUACGGUACAAACUACAGUUUCCAGCUAAAAGAUCUAAAUCGUUUGCAUCAUCAACGUCAUCAAGAACAAUAAGAACUUUCUUCCGUUGCAGCCUUCUCAUAAUCCAGUCAUCUAAAACUAAAAGAGGUGCGCCUAUUUUUAAAUUUUCGUCUCCCAGUAGUGAACCAAUCAUUUUAUCCCGUAAAACAAUUGUUGUUUCCUUUCGUAUCAGUUCCUUCACAUUUGAAACAAAGUAGUGGGCAUCAAAUUUAGCCUUGAUUUCGGUAAAUAUUGACUAUCUGAAUCUGUUACAGGAACUUAUUCUAGUUGAUUGUGGUAUAUCAGAAAUUCCAGAGAGCAUUGGAUCAUUAGUUUCAUUAAAAGAGUUAUAUUUGGAUGGAAACGGUUUCGAAAGCAUUCCUGCAAGUAUCAAACAACUUUCUAACUUAGUUAUCCUUAGCUUGGAUGAUUGUCUGAGGCUUAGAUAUUUGCCAGAGAUUCCAAUCUUAUUUUCGUUUUCUGCAUCAAAUUGCACCUCUUUAGAAUUCGUAUCAUGUCCAUUCUUUUCCCAUGAAGAUGAAGAUGGAUUUCUGUAUGUAUGUCUUAACUUUAUUAACUGCAUCAAAUUGGGAGAAAAUGUAGGUAUUGAAAUUAUAGAAAUCGUAUUGUCACCACAUUCAAACAUAGAGGUAUGGUUCCUUUCUCUAAUGUUCCCUCUAGUUUGAAACAGCUUUGAGAGUCCUAACUUAAGUGUUAAUUUGACUGUAUUUUUCCCAAUUUUAUUUUCAUGGGGCAGGUGUUCAGAAUAUGUAUCCUUGGGAUGGAAGUGCCGCAAAGUAUGAGAUAUCAGACAAGUGGAUCUCAUCUUUCAUUCGAGCUGGAGAGGGAUGAUGAUAUUUUGGGUUUCUGCUUUUGCGCUGUUAUUGCUCCCCAACUUCUUCAUUCUCAUGAUCAAGGUUCCAUUAAAUGUUUUGAUGAAUUCGAAGAUAAAUCUGGAAAGAUCCAUGACUUUUAUUUUUUCAGGUAUGCUGUUGAUGCCUAAGUUAGAUUCAAAACAUGUGCUCCUUUGGCACAAAUCUUUCGACUGUGAAGAGCAUUUCACUCGGGCCUCGUUCCACUUUGCUAUUAGUAAGAGUUAUGAACCAAGUUAUAAUAGGGAACCGAUGAUUAAGUGUAGUGUUCAUCCUGUAUCUCGGGAACAACAUAGGACACCAAAACAAGAAAUGAUUCAAACCAACAAGGAUUGUAAUGGAGAGCCCCAGACAAGGAAACGGUCGGCGAAUGCUGAAUUUUGGGAUAAGAAUUCAAGACCAAGACUUUGAUUAAAGGAAUUUCUAGUUUCUUGUGUUUCUCUUUGGGAUUUUGAUUAACUAAACUUCGGUUUUUAAUUCAAGUCUUUGGUUUCUAAGUUUCUGGAGUUGUACGUUGGCAUUGUAUCUUAAGGGCUUGUUGCAGUUGGCGGAAGAUCUUGAAUCAUGUUUGUAGUUAUCCAAAAUAUAUGCUUGUAAUUAUUUGCUAGUUUGGAGUUUUGGAGGGAAGUAUGGAUUGAUCUCUAAAAGAUGUUUGCUUCAUUUCAAUUGAUAUUUAAAACAAAUUUUGUAAAUUGGUUCAAUUAUAUCAGCAGCUCACAUAAAUAUUUUCUUUGGAGCUUUGAUGCUAUAUCAGCCUAUAAAAAAAAAAAAAAAAAAAAAAAGAAAAAAAGCCCAUCAAGUCUAUCACUCUUUCUUUUUGUUUAUUUAUUUAUACGAGUUUCAAUACAUAGAAUAACAUUAUGAACUAUAUAAUGUAAUACCCUCUUUAAUUCAUUAAAUUAUAAAAAAUUUUAUAAUCGUUAACUUUUUAUGAAAUUAAAUUAAAAUUUAAAAAUAUUCUUAUAUUUAAAAAUAUUUCUUUGAUAAUAUAGAAUCUAGAUAUAUAAUUAACCAAAAAUAAGAAUCUCAAUUCUUUACAAUUAAACUAAUACAAUUAGAUGACAUUUAAAAAUCUUUUCAUUAUAAAUGUAUUGUAUCUGCUGCUCGUGACUUGGCGCAAGCUUGCUCGUCAAGACGGGUGAUUAAGGUUGGAAGUUAACAAUUAUAUAAAUGACAAAUGCAUAAGUUAUCUGAGUCUUUGUCUUGAAUUCUUCUCCCAUGAUUCAACGUUCGCCGACUGUACUGUAUCCUUGUCUGGUUCUCCCUGAUACCAUCCUUCUUGGUUUUAUUCAUUCCUUAUUCCGGCUUCCUAUAUUCUUCCCGAUAUAUAGGAUGAAUGCCACAAUUGAUCACCCUCCCACUAGUGCCACCAGAUUUUCCGAAAUGUUCAAGAUGGAAUGAGACUUGAGUGAAAUUCUGGUCAUGAUCAAAAGAUUUAUACCCAAGGAACACAUGUUUUGAAUCUAACUUAGGAAGCCCUAAAUAUAGCAAAUAAAAGUCACAGUCAUACUUGUACAUCUUUCCAGAUUUAUCUUGGAAGUUCAUAGAACCUCUAAUGUUAUAUCUAUCUAAAUCAAAAUCUUGGAAAUCUAUAACAACAGCAAAAUAAAAACCCAACAUACGAUCAAACCUUUUCAACUGAACUGAACAAUAAGACCCACUUGUUCGAUAUUUGAUACUUUGCGGCACUUCCACCCCAGGGAUACAUAAGUAUAAAUCCUGCUCCAUGAAAAUAUAUUUUGUUAAAGAAUAUCAUAAUUAAUUAACGAUAGAGCUGAAUUUAAAUAGCUGAUGAAAGAUUAAAUGGAUAAUCUAAACACAAAUUUUAAAAAACGCCCAUAAUAACUAUUGAAAUCUUUUCGUAAUAUUUUUUUUAUGGUAAGGAAUUCUUUAUUAAAUUUUAAAAAACGCCUAUAAUAACCCAAAUUAAAAUAAUUAAAAUAUAUAUUCCAUUGAUGUUUAUCAUCGAAAAUCUUAAAUAACAUUUUUUUAAUUAGGACUUCUUUAAUAAUUUAAUAUUAGAGAAAGGAAACGUACGUUCUGGCCUUGAUGUGCUGAGAACAGGGCUUCCGUAAUUUGAAGACGUACAUUAUCACCCAAUUUGAUGCAGUUACCAAAAUUAAGUUGAAUGCACCGACGGCCAUAUGCUGUUUCUGCUUUGGGAAAGGACGAAAAUGAUACAAAUUCUAAAGAGGUGCAAUUUGAUGCAAAAAAAAACCUUGUGCCUGGAAGCGCUGGCAAAUAUCUAAGCCUCUUACAAUCAUACAACAUAAGAGUGCUCAAGUUAGAAAGUUGUUUGAUGCUUGCAGGAAUGCUUUCGAAAUCGUUUCCAUCUAAAUGUAACUCUUUCAAUGAAACUAAUGAUCCAAUACUCUCUGGAAUUUCUGAUAUGCCACAGUUACCGAGAUAAAGCUUCUGUAUUCUAUUCAAACCGGACAACGAAGAAGGCCAUACCGUCAAACCUUUACAUCCCUCAAAAUAUAAACAUUUCAAUCGGCUCAAUUGAUUGAAAGUGGAUGGUAAUGUUUUUAUGCCACUUCCUGUUGCGUUAAGUGCCUUCAGAGAUUUUAAAUCUCCGAAGUUAUUUGGCAAUCUGUUGAAUUUCAAACCUGUAACAUCAAUGCGUUCAAGAGAUUGUAACUGGCCAAUGCAGUCUGGAAGAUUUUCAAGCUUUGUACACUCCCUUAACGAUAAUGCAACAAGUUGAGAGCAAUGUCCAAUUGAUGAAGGCAAUUGUUUUAUUGCAGUUUUACUUAAAUUUAAAUCGCUUAAAUUGCAAGGAAGCUCUGGACAUUCUUCAAGUUUACUGCAAUCUUUAAGAUUAAGAAUCUCAAGACUUUCUAACUGAAGGAAGCUUGGCAAACUGCGAAUACUUACACAGUGCUCUAAGUGUAGCCGAGCAAACUUGCUUGAAUAUUUAAGAGAUGAAGGAAUCUCAAUGAAACUUCUACAACUUGACAAACAUAAUUCCUCAAGGUUUGGGGCUUGAAAUGGGUCCGAAAUUCUCAAUAAAGACAGAGAGCUGCGGAGGUUCAUAACUUUCAAACUUUUAAAAGGCUGUAAUAAAAAGAGCAAGAAUAUGAAUUAUUAAAAUUUCAUGUUUUACAUAUAUUUGUUAUUUAUCUAUUAAAAAAAAAAUAAUUUCACUGCUCAUCCAAUGGUGGAACCAUGGGGUGGCUACUGGCUAGCAGGGGCCAUGGCUCCCAUGUCUCAAAAAUUUUAUCUUAUAUAUAUAUUCUUUAAGAAAAUGAUCGAUGUGGAAUGUAGCUUGGUGGAAAAUCUCUUGAUUGUUUACCUUGUAACCAAGUUUGAGAUCUUGGUACAAGCAUAAUUUAUAUUUUUAGUAUUCUUAUUAUUUAUUUUAAAUUUACAAUAACCUAAGCAUAAAACCAAAUACUCACAAAAUAAUUAUUUUAUAAUUCAAAAUUAGUUAUUUACUUAUUUGUUUAUUUAAUCAAAUAAUACAAAAAAUAAAUUCUAAAAAUUGUAUUUUAAUAUAAUUGUCUGUACAAAUACCAAAAUUAAAAUAAGCCAAUUUAAAGUAUGGAGAUUAAUAAAUUUAUGUUUAGAUAGUUUCUAUUUGUUGUUGCUAUAAGGGUAAAAAAUUAACACAUCAUAUAUUGAUUGACCAAAAUUUUUAUUACUCAUCGCUAAUAUUUAGAAUUUAAGACGAAAUUAAAAAGUCUCAUUUAAUUCAAAGAUUUGACCUGUAACUAUAUGAAGACCAAUUUGGAAAAAAUGUAUUGGACAUAAAACAAUUGUAAAUGAUUCAUUAAGAAAAUUUUAAAUUCUAUUUCCUCAGAAAUGCAUUUAAGAAUAAGCAUUAGUUUAAUGAUUAAAGCAUAUUAUUUCUUUUUAUGAUAUUCUUUUAUGAUCUCACUGGAUAUAUUUUUGCCACUCUCAUCAAACCAUUUUUAUAAAUUUUAACUCAACUAAAUACAAGUUAUUAUCAAACUACAUCUUAUUAUGUUAUAAGUUCAUUUACACCAAAUAGAAAUAUUAAAGUUUAGGAAGUAUACCUUACUAUCUCCAUCCCACAGAUGUUUGAGUUGGCUGCCAGGCAAGCGAAGUUGUACAAGGUUAUUUGGGCAAAACUUCAACGGCAACGAUUUCAAAGGGUAACCGUACCAUCGUAAAUAUCUUAGCUCUUCUGGAAGAAAAUCAAGUCCAUCAGGCAAAAUCCAUUUGGAACCAGACAUUCUGAGGAAUCUAAGAUUAGGCAUCUUCAUGAAACUUUUGGAACUUAUCUCAAUAGCUCCAGCAUUCGACAUUUUAAACGAAAUGCACUCAAUCUUAUCAGUUCCCUGAUAAAUGAACAAUAAAUGAAAAUAGGUAAUUGAGUAUAAAAUAUUAAAAAAAAAAAAGCUAUUGGAAUCAUUACUAAUUAUGUGGAGCGGUAAGUUCAAAUUUCAAUUAUUCAAAUAUAAAAAAACAACAAAAGAAAAAUGUAGCAAAUUUUGCUCCUUACUGUAUUUGUUUUGAAUACAUGAGAAAUGUCCUCAGGAUCCCCCAACCUCCUACGUCCUCCAGGCUGUUUGCAUUCCUCAUUCACAAUCUCCUCUCCCAUUUGUUGGAGUAAGUUAUGCAUUUCUACUUUACGAUCAUAUUUUCGAAUGGCGAUGAGAGAUUUAUCAAUGAGACUCCUUAUUCCACAUCUCGCAAAGAAACCAAAACUUUCUAUUAUUUUUUCAAGCUUAUUUUCAUGUGUAUCUCCUUUUCCAAAGAAACAUGCAAUAUCCAGAAAUAUGAUCUGCUCAUUUCUAUCUAACCCAUCAUAACUUAUUUUUAGAACAUCUUGAAUUCUCUUGUUCGGGAUGCUUUUCAAUUUGAGCAACUGGCUCUCCCAGUACUCUUUCUCCUUGCCAUAAAGGCUAGAGCCUAAAACUUUUAGUGCUAANNNNNNNNNNNNNNNNNNNNNNNNNNNNGCUGCUCGGAUAGCUCCGCAUAUCCUUCUUUCGGUUCAUUUUGAUGGAAAGCGUGCAAGCUAAAGAGUUGAAGAGCUUCCUUAUAAAUUAAUCCCUCAACCUGAUAAAUAUGUUCUUCGUGACAAACAUUUUUAAGUACUUGUCUAUCUGUACUAGUUAUAAUGAUUCUACUUCCCUUACGGUACAAACUACAGUUUCCAGCUAAAAGAUCCAAAUCGUUUGAAUCAUCAACGUCAUCAAAAACAAUAAGAACUUUCUUACGUUGCAGCCUCCUCAAAAUCCAGUCAGCUCUUGAACAUCAGUUGGAUCUACACGGUAAAAAACCGGUAAAACUAUUUGCCCUGACUUUUUGUAAAACAAUUGCUGUUUCCUUCCUUAUCAGUUCCUUGACAUUUGAAACAAAGCAGUGGGCAUCAAAUUUAGCCUUGAUUUGGGAAAACACUAUACCAGCAAGAGUUGUCUUUCCAAUACCAGCCAUUCCCCAAAUUCCUAUUAUCCAAUUUCUGUCAUUUACAUCAAUAUCCAAUAACGAUAUUACUUCCUCGACACGCGAAUCAAUUCCAAUUAACUUGUCAUGGUAACUAGCAUUUGAUGGCAUAUGACUUAAUAUUUCCGAAACACGAUUGACGAUUCUUUGAACUAGCGUUUGGUCGUUUCUGAUCACAUAUGAAAAACAAAAAGUAAGCCAAAACUUAUAUAUCCUAGAAUAGAAUCAAUUAAGUGUUUGGAAAAACUGGGUGGGUAAAACCCAUGAUUGAAGGAAUAUGAGAAAAUGAAACAGAAUUGUAACAAGAAAAUAAAAAUAAGUGAGAGUUCAAAGGAGUAGAUAUCGUGAAUAAAAGCCAUCUAUUGUGUGCGCAAGAUUGAUCUAUUAUUGAUGAAUGGAAAAUAAAAAGACAUGGAAAAGUAAACAGGGGAAAAUGAUAACUUUACUUGAUCUCAUUCGAAACAAAAGCACUUAAGUCGUUGCUGAUUGUCUUCAAAGCAUGGCACCAUCCACCCAGGUUGUGUGAACUAUCGCUGUGAUCUUUUAAAAGCCUAGCAAGUGCCCUUGCGAAAGGGCCUCUCAGCUCUUGAACAUCAGUUGGAUCUACACGGUAAAAAACUGGCAAAACUAUUUGCCCCGACUUUUCUCUGCAUUCAUUUAUCACAACAAGCUCGUCCAAGCACCAUGGAGAAUCUGCAUAGUUUUUGGAGAAUAUGACAAUUGAAAUACAUGAUUCUUGAAUUGUUUGCUUGAGGGCUGGUGUUAUUUCAGUUCCUUUUUUAAGUUUUUCAUCCUUGAAGGUAUCGAUUCCCUUUUCCUUCAAAGAUUCAAAGAGAAAGGAGAGGAAACCGUCGCGGAUGUCUUUGCCUCUGAAAUUAAUAAAAACUUCAUAGUUAUUUAGCUCGGAAGGGGUUUGCUGGGAAAAGGUUGAGGAUGGAGAAGAAGCAGCAUUGGUAUUAAUGAUAAAAGAAGCGGUUCGCUGGGAAGAGGUUGAAGCAGAAGAAGAGAAAGAAGAACCCAUAACGGAAAAUUCAAAUGAUACAAGAAGCCGUAGAACGAGAGUUUUAUAUGUCAAAGUUGGUUGUGGUGUGCCCACUUAAAUGGGACCCAUAUGUGCAAAAGAAAGAAAAAAAAAAAAAAAAGGAAAACGUGUUAUUUGAAAAAGAAGAAAAUUUGGCAAAAGUUGGCAAUUUUUUUUUUGACAAAGUAUGGAGACAUGAAUGAGUUAUACACGACUCAUUCACUGAACUGAUUAUAAAAGGAGGCAGACGAAGUUCAUUUAAAUACAACACAAAUAGGGAGUGAUAGCAAUUGUGAGAAAUAGCAAUUGUAAGAGAGAAAAAUAGAGAUUAUCCAAGAAGAAAAGUUAAACUUAAUUCUUCGGGUAUUCUUUUAUAGAGGAUUGUGAGUGUAUGUAAACACUUUAUUUAUUUUUGUCUUAUAAAAGAUCUAUGGUAGUCCGGAGACGUAGGCAAGAUUGGCCGAACUCCGUUAUCAAAUUAUGUGUUAUUAUUUUCUUUUGCUCCCUCAUAAAUCUGACUUAUUGGGGAUUUUGCGUAAUUUUUUCCAACAUUAUAAAACGUAGAGGAGUGUAUAUAAAGCUAAACCAUUUAGAUUUAAGAGUCAUCAUCCCAGAAACUUCAAAGAAGAUUUAAGAAAGUGAGUGAGUGGAAGUGGGAAAGAGAGAAAAGUGGGGCGAUGCGAGAGUAAAGCAAAGAGAGACAUUUUAGUGCGUGCGUGAGCGGAUCUAAUGUGCCGUGUUUGCCGCUUCGCUUGAUUUGUAUAAUUAGAGUUUAUUGCUCACUUGUAAAAGCUAUUUCCAUUGAAUCCAAUUGCUGAUAAGUAUAAAAAAUCAUAGUAUAAAUACCGAGGAAAAUUGACCUCACAAUCAUAAUUUAAUAAUUUUUUUAAAUAAUAAUUAUGUAACUCUUGGUCAUAAUUUGAAAAUUUCAAGAAAUAUUUUAAGCAUAAAAAAUACUAUAUUAUUAAUUAAUCUAUUUAGUUACUCAAAAAUCAAAGAAUCCACCGUUAACGUCGUUAAUAUUUAGAUAAUCAAAAUAUAAUCAAUGUCCAUUAUCCAUAUUAAAACUAUCAUUUGAAAUGAUAUAUUGUAUGAUAAGUAACUUAUUAUAUUAAUUUACUUUAACAAAUUAAUAAUUAAUAUAUAUACUUAUCGGUCCCAUAAAUUUAACAGGCAAAAAAAAAUAUGGGGAAUAUUUUGGUAUUUAUACAUGGAAGGAGGGAGGAAAAGGGGGAAGAAAGACACAAUAUGAACACCAUCAUUGCAGUAGUCAAAAAAGAAAAUUGAAGGGAAUAUUUUCUAGUUAUACAUGGGAGGAGGAAGAAAGACGCAAUGACUUAGGUUAACGACUUAGGUUACGUUUUGUUGUGGGGUGCCCAUUCUGUGGGACCCACACAUUGUUGAAAAUAAAAAAGGAAACAUGUGGGUCCUAUGGGAUCCAUAAGCUUUGACAAAAGAAAGAAAAAUAGAGAAGGAAAUUCGGUCGACACGUUAUAUUUUCAGUGUACGCGUUACUCUUCUCUUAUAAAUAGAAGAGGAUGCAAUGCUUCAAAACACACACAUCAGAAAAAAAGAAAAAUAAAAUUUAGGGAGAGAGAGUUAUUUAGUUUUGGGAAGGGUUUCAUAAAACUAGGGGAAAAAAAUAUUGAGAAAAUUAUUAUAGGGUGUUUUUGGGAAACACUUUGAGUGCCACUAUUUUUGUAUUACUCUCUUUGAGUACCUACUAUUUUUAAUAGUGGAAGAGUUAUUCAGAGUUUGUCUCGUGGACAUAGCCCUAAACAGUUGAGGGUGAACCAUGUAAAUUUCUGUGUGUCACAAUUUUGAUUAUUCCGUUGCGUUAAUUUCCUCUUACUUUAUUAAAAGGUUCCAACAAGUGGUAUCAGAGGUGAGGCAAGUGGUACCUGAGGCCCAACAACUGGUAUCAAAGCUGAUGCCCAACAAGUGGUAUCAGAGCUGAUGCCCAACACGUUUAUUUUCGGAAGAUAAAAUGUUUUCCUUUGAAAAAUAUUUUUCGAAUAAUUUUUUUUGUUGUUUGAUUGCAAUAUUAAAAAUCAGUUAAAAAUAUUAAAAUUUUAAUUCAUAAGACCAUAAAAAUAUUAAUAAUAAUAAUAGAAAUUUCGUAUUUUAAAAAUUUUAUUGUUAAAUAUGAGAAGAAUGAAAAAAAAAUAAAUUAUGAAAGUUGUCAGUGACCGAUGGUGGGGGUCGACGGUAUCCGCUAGUGAUGAAUAAUAGCUAUCAAUGAUUAAUAAAUUAAAAAAUUAUAAGGUUAUAAUAAGUUUGUUAAUGUCCGGAAAAUGUUUUACUUUUCAUUUUUAAUCAAAAAUACAUAAGCAAAUUAUGUAUUUCAUUUUUUUUCGUAAACUCUGUCUCCAUUGACAAGACUUAUGUGAGAGACAUCGUCACAUACAGGAUCGGCAUGAGAGUCGUCAUUGGAAAAUUGAUUUCCUUUAUAUUCUUCUAAUAUUUCAUUUAUGUUUUUAUCGUCUUUUUCUCCAUUGGUAUUGGCUGCGAUUCUACGAUUUUUUUUCUUAUCGGAAAUCUAUCACUGCCAUGAAUGUUGUUUAUGCUCUAAAGGAAAAUAGGACUCUCGAUUAUACUUAAAUUAAUAUUGAUACAGUAAAUAUACACCGUUUUACUUGUUUUGAUCAAAUGUAUUAAUUGAUGUGUGUGUGCACAGGUGUGUGUGUGUGUAUAUAUAUAUAUAUAUAUAUAUAUAUAUAUAUCAAUCUGUUACUGUUUGGAGCAAAAUUUGUAUCAUAUGAAACUAAAUAGUCGGGCUUGGCCAUUUAAAAUGAUAGUUUUAAUAUGGAUAAUGGAUAGUAAUUAUAUUUUGAUUAUCUAAAUAUGAACAGUGAAUUCUUUGAUUUUUGAGCAAAAAUGGUUAAUUAAUAAUAUAGUAUUUUUUAUGCUUGAAAUACUUCUUGAAAUUUUCAAAUUAUGACAGAGUUACAUAAUUAUCUAAUUGUGAUUUAAAAAAAUUAUUAAAUUAUGAUUGUUAGGUCAAUUUUUAUCAGUAUUUUAACUUGAUCAGCAAUAAACUGUAAUUAUUCAGAGUUGGUCCCACGACGUAACAUUAAACAAGGUGAACCAUGUAAAUUUCUGUGUGUCACAUUUCUGCUGCGUAAUUAUUCUCGUAAUUUUAUUGCCGGCUCCUAACAAAAUAUAUUCUCGUAUCAUUGGAAUUCUCCGUUAUGGGUUCUUCUUUCUCUUCUUCUGCUUCAAUCUCUUCCCAGUGAACCCCUUCUUUUAUCAUUAAUUCCAUUGCUGCUUCUUCUCCUUCCUCAACCUCUUCCCAGAUUGCCAAAUAACUUAGGAGAUUUAAAAUCUCUGGGGGAACUCAUUGCAACAAGAAGUGGCAUACAAACAUUACCAUCUUCAUUGUCUGGUUUGAAUCUGUUACAGGAACUUAUUCUAGUUGAUUGUGGGAUAUCAGAAAUUCCAGAGAGCACUGGAUCAUUAGUUUCAUUAAAAGAGUUAUAUUUGGAUGGAAAGGUUUUCGAAAGCAUUCCUUGAAGCAUCAAACAACUUUCUAACUUGGUUAUCCUUAGCUUGAAUGAUUGUAUGAGGCUUAGAUAUUUUCCAGAGAUUUCAAUCUUAUUUUCUUUUUCUGCGUCAAAUUGCACAUGUCCAUUCUUUCAUUCGAACUGGAGAGGGAUGAUGAUAUUUUGGGUUUCUGCUUUUGUGCUCUUAUUGAUCCCCAACUUCUUCAUUCUCAUGAUCAAGGUUCCAUUAAAUGUUUUGCGGAAUUCGAAGAUAAAUCUGGAAAGAUACAUGACUUUUAUUUUUCACGUAGGCUGUUGAUGCCUAAGUUAGAUUCAAAACAUGUGCUCCUUUGGUACAAAUCUUUCGACUGUGAAGAGCAUUUCACUCGGGCCUCAUUCCACUUUGCUAUUAGUAAUAGUUAUGAACCUAGUUAUAAUAGGGAAGGGAUGAUUAAGUGUAGAGUUCAUCCCGUAUCUCGGGAACAAUAUAGGACACCAAAAUAAGAAAUGAUUCAAACCAGUAAGGAUGGUAAUGGAGAGUCCCAGACAAGGAAACGGUCGGCGAAUGCUGAAUUUUGGGAUAAGAAUUCAAGACCAAGACUCUGAUUAAAGGAAUUUCUAGUUUCGUGCGUUUCUCUUUGGGAUUUUGAUUAACUAAACUUCGGUUUUUCAUUCAAGUCUUUGGUUUCUAAGUUUCUGCAGUUGUAUGUUGGCUUUGUAUCUCAAGGGCUUGUUGCAGUUGGUGGAAGAUCUUUAAUCAUGUUUGCAGUUAUCCUAAAUGCUUGCAAUUAUUUGCUAAUUUGGAGUUUUGGAGGGAAGUAUAGAUUGAUCUUUAAAAGAUGUUUGCUUCAUUUCAAUUGCUCUUUAAAACAAAUUUUGUAAAUUGGUUCAAUUAUAUCAGCAACUCACAUAAUAUAAUGUUAGAACCAUUUUCUAUCAAUGAUAAUUUAUUUUGUCCCCUCUGUGUUUUAUUGUAUUAUUAUUUUUCCGGUAAUCAAUUAAUUAAAAUUGAGGUAACAGUAGUCAAUUAAAACUCAUAUUCUUUCGACCUUUUAUGCUAUAUCAGCCUAUCAAGUCUAUUGUUUUUCUUUUCUUUUUAUUUAUUUAUGUAUUAGGAAGUUUCAUAAAUUAGAAUGAUACCCUCUUUAAUUCAUUAAAUUAUAAAAAAUUUUAUAAUAAAACUGAUAAAAUCAUACUUGAUUAACUUUUUUAUGAAAUUAAAUUAAUUUUUAAAAAUAUUCUUACAUUUAAAAAUAUUUCUUUGAUAAUAUAGAAUCUAAAUAAAUAAUUAACCAAAAAUAAGAAUCUCAAUUCUUUACAAUUAAACUAAUACAAUUAGAUGCCAUUUAAAAAUCUUUUCAUCAUAAAUGUAUUGUAUCUGAUGCAACUGACUUUACACAAGCUUUCUCGUCAAGACGGGUGAUUAAGGUUGGAAGGUAACAAUUAAUUUGACUUUCCUAUAAUUUUUUUUUUUUGAAAUUCUAUUUUUCUAAGAAAAUAUAUUUCCAUAAAAAAAAUUGAAUUUCGGGAAAAAAGAGUUCAUCUUACCUUAUAAUAGUUAAAAUAUUAAGUUUUAUUUAAUUUAGUAUAUCUCAAAAAAAAAAAAACUAAAUCAAACUAUUAGGAUAAAAUUGCAAAUUUUACAGUAUGAAGGAUCUUACAUGCAUUAGUUUGGGUCUACAAGAUUAUCAAAAUCUAAGAAAAACUCAUCACGCUCUACACAUGCCUGUCCAUCUUCAUCUUCAUCUUCCAGGAAAAGGAAUGGACAUGAUACAAAUUGUCAAGAGAUGCAAUUUGAUGCAGAAAAUAUUCUUUAGAAUGGAAGUUAUGUCAAAUUUCUUAGCCUCUUACAAUCAUUCAACUUAGAAAGUAGAAUCAUGCUUGGCGGUAUGCUUUUGAAAUCGUUUUCAUCUAAAUAUAACUCUUCCAAUGAAAUUAAUGACCCAAUGCUCUCUGGAAUUUCUGAUAUACCACACUUAUUCAGAUAAAAUUUCCUUAGGCAAUUCAAACCAGACAAAGGAGGCAAUGUCAUCAAACCUUUACAUCCCUCGCAACAUAAGAAUUCCAAUUUGCUCAAUUGAUUGAUAGAUGAUGGUAAUAUUUUUAUGCCACUUGCUUUUGCUUCACGCUCCAUCCGCAAUUUUAAAUCUCCAAAAUUAUCUAGCAAUCCGUUGAAUUUCAAACAAUCUGUAACAUCAAUGCCUUCAGGAGAUUUUAACCCACAAAUACUUUGUGGGGUGGAACUAGACUUCAAGAAUUGGGAUUAAGGAUCAAUAUAAAUAUUUACGUGAGUUGCUGAUAAUAUUGAACCAAUUUACAAAAUUUGUUUUAAAGAUCAGUUGAAAUGAAGCAAACCUCUUUUAAAGAUCAAUCUAUACUUCCCUCCAAAACUCCAAACUAGCAAAUAAUUACAAGCAUUUAGGAUAACUACAAACAUGAUUAAAGAUCUUCCACCAACUGCAACAAGCCCUUGCCAACGUACAACUGCAGAAAAUUAGAAAUAGAUUAGCUAUUAUGAGUGUUAAUAUCCAAGUAACAGCCAAUAAUAAGCUGAUUCUCUCCACUACCGUGAUGCUGUGAAUUGAAAACUGAAGUCUACCAAAAUCCCAAAGUAAUACACACGAAACUAGAAAUUCCUUUACCUAUUGUCAAUUUCCAUUUGCCAUACAAAUUGACCUUAAUCAGAUUCUUUGCCUCAAUUUCUUCUCCUAUAAUUCAGCGUUCGCCACUUGUACUGUAUCCUUAUCUGGUUCUCCCUGAUACCAUCCUUCUUGGUUUUAAUCAUUCCUUAUUUCAGCUUUCCUAUAUCUUCCCGAUGUAUAGGAUGCAUGCCACAAGUGAUCGCCCUCCCAAUACUGGCACCACCUUUUCUGGGAUACUUUACAGAGAAUUGAUAAACAUGGAAUGAGACUCGAGUGAAAUUCGGCUCAUGAUCAAAAGAUUUGCACCUAAGGAACACAUGUUUUGAAUCUAAUUUAGGAAGCCCAAAAUAUGGCAAAUCAAAGUCACAGACAUACUCAUACAUCUUUUCAGAUUUAUCUUGGAAGUUCGCAUAUCCUGUAAUGCCAUAUUCAUCCAAAUCAAAAUCUUGGAAAUCAAUAACAGCGGAAAAAUAAAAACCCAAAACACGAUCAGGCCUUUCCAACUGAAAUGAAAGAUGAGACCCACUUGUUCGAUAUUUCAUAAUUUGUGGCACUUCCACCACCCCAGGGAUACAUAAUUGACACUGCUACUCCAUGAAAAUAUACUUUGUUAAGGAAUAUCAUAGUUAAAUAACGAUAGAGUUGAAUUUAAAUAGCUGAUGAAUGAGUAAAUGGAUAAUUUAAACACAAAUUUGAAAAAACGUCCAUAACAACUAUUGAAAUCUUUUCGUGAUAUUUUUUUUAUGGUAAGAUGAUAUAUAGUUCAAUUUUAUUAUGUUUAUCUCUUUUCCCUUGUCAAAGCAUAAAUUAAUUAAGAAAUUCACAAGUUAGGAAAAUAUUCCAUUGAUGUUUAUCUUCGAAAAUCUUAAUUAACAUUUUUUUUUAAUAAGGACUUCUUUAUUAAUUUAAUAUUAGAGAAAUGAAACAUACGUGCUGGUCUGGGUGUGUUGAGAAUGGGGCCUCCAUAAUCUGAAGACGUAAUUUAUCACCCAAUUUGAUGCAGUUACCAAAAUUAAGAUCAGUGUACCGAAAGUCAUCUUCUGUUUCUGCUUUGGAAAAGGACGAAAAUGAUACGAAUUCUAAAGAGGUGCAAUUUGAUGCAGAAAUUGACCAUGUGCAUGGAAGCUCUGGCAAAUAUCUAAGCCUCUUACAAUCAUCCAACAUAAGAGUCUCUAAGUUAGAAAGUUGUUUGAUGCUUGAAGGAAUGCUUUCGAAAGCGUUUCCAUCUAAAUAUAAAUCUUUCAAUGAAACUAAUGAUCCAAUACUCUCUGGAAUUUCUGAUAUACCACAGUUACCCAGAUGAAGCGUCUGUAGGCUAUUCAAACCGGACAACGGAGGCCAUACCGUCAAACCAUUACAUCCUGCAAAGUAUAAAUAUUCCAAUCGGCUUAAUUGAUUGAAAGAGGAUGGUAAUGUUUUUAUGCCACUUCCUGUUGCGUUAAGUGUCUUCAGAGAUUUUAAAUAUCCAAAGUUAUUUGGAAAUGUGCUGAAUUUCAAACCUCUAACAUCAAUGUGUUCAAGAGAUUGUAACUGGCCAAUGCAGUUUGGAAGAUUUUGAAGCUUUGUACACCAGCUUAACGAUAAUACAACAAGUUGAGAGCAAUGUCCAAUUGAUGAAGGCAAUUGUUUUAUUGCAGUUUUACUUAAAUUUAAAUCCCUUAAAUUGCAAGGAUGCUCUGGACAUUCUUUAAGUUUACUGCAACCAUGAAGAUUGAGAAUCUAAAGAUUUUCUAACUGAAGGAAGCUUGGCAAACUGCUAAUACUUUCACAGUACUCUAAGUGUAGCCGAGCAAGCUUGGCUGAAUAUUUAAGAGAUGAAGGUAUCUCAAUGAAACGUCUACAUCUUGACAAAUAUAAUCCCUCAAGCUUUCGGGCUUGAAAUGAGUCCGAAAUUCUCAAUAAAGACACAGAGGUAUUGAGGUCCAUCAAUUUCAAACUUUUAAAAGGCUGUAAUUCUCAAUAUGAAUGAUUAAAAUUUAAUGUUUAAUUUAGUAUAGCUAAACUUUAAAAAGUGCAGUACCUUACUAUCUCCUUUCCACAGUUGUUUGAGCUGGCUGCUAGGCAAGCGAAGUUCUACAAGAUUAUUUGGGCAAAACUUCGACGGCAAAGAUUCCAAAGGGUAAAAAAGCCAAGACAAAUAUCUUAGCUGUUCCCGAAGAAAGUUAAGGCCAUCAGGCAAAAUCCAUUUGGAAUCAGUGAUUCUGAGGAAUCUAAGAUUAGGUAUCUUCAUGAAACUUUUGGAACUUAUUUCAAUAGAUCCAGCAGUCAAAAAAGGAGGCGAAAUGCAAUCAAUCUUAUCAAUUUCCUGGUAAAACGAACGACAAAUUAAAAAUGAAUAUAUAUAUAUAUAUAUAUAUAUAAAGGUAUGAGUAUAAAAUAUUUAAAAAGAAAAGCUAUUGGAAUCAUCAUUAAUUACGUUGAGUGGUAAGUUCAAAAGUAGCAAAUUUUGCUCCUUACUGUAUUUGUUUUGAAUACAUGAGAAAUGUCCUUAGGAUUCCACAACCCACUACGUCCUCCAGGCUGUUUGCAUUCCUCAUUCACAAUCUCCUUUCCCAUUUGUUGUAGUAAGUUAUGCAUUUCUACUUUACGAUCAUAUUUUCGAAUGGCGAUGAGAGAUUUAUCAAUGAGACUCCUUAUUCCACAUCUUACAAAGAAACCAAAACUUUCUAUUAUUUUUUCAAGCUCAUUUUAAUGUGUAUCUCCUUUUCCAAAGAAACAUGCGAUAUCCAGAAAUAUGCUCUGCUCAUUCCUAUCUAACCCAUCAUAACCUAGUUUUAGAACAUCUUGAAUUCUCUUGUUCGGGAUGCUUUUCAAUUUUAGCAACUGGCUCUCCCAGUACUCUUUCUCCUUGCCAUAAAGGCUAGAGCCUAAAACUUUUAGUGCUAAUGGAUUGCCUUGAGCAUAACGUAUCACCUCCUUGGAUAGCAAAACAUAUCCUUCUUUCGGUUCAUCUUGAUGGAAAGCAUGCAAGCUAAAGAGUUGAAGAGCUUCCUUAUAAAUUAAUCCCUUAACCUGAUAAAUAUGUUCUUCACGACAAACAUUUUUAAGCACUUGUCUAUCUGUACUAGUUAUAAUGAUUCUACUUCCCUUACGGUACAAACUACUGUUUCCAGCUAAAAGAUCUAAAUCGUUUGAAUCAUCAAUGUCAUCAAAAACAAUAAGAACUUUCUUUUUUUGCAGUCUUCUCAUAAUCCAAUCAUCUAAUACUAAAAGUGGUAAGCCUAUUUUGAAAUAUUCGUCUCCCAAUAGUGAACGAAUGAUUUUAUCCCGUAAAACAAUUGCUGUUUCCUUCCUUAUUUGUUCCUUGACAUUUGAAACAAAGCAGUGGGCAUCAAAUUUAGCCUUGAUUUGGGAAAACACUAUACCGGCAAGAGUUGUCUUUCCAAUACCAGCCAUUCCCGAAAUUCCUAUUGUCCAAUUUCUGUCAUUUACAUCAAUAUCCAAUAACGAUAUUACUCCCUCGACACGUGAAUGAAUUCCAACUAACUUGUCAUGGUAACUAGCAUUUGAUGGCAUAUGACUUAACAUCUCUGAAACACGAUUGACGAUUCUUUGAACUAGCAUUUGGUCAUUUCUGAUCACAUAUGAAAAAUAAAAAGUAAGCCAAAACUUAUAUAUUCUAGAAUAGAAUAAAUUAAGUGUUUGGAAGAACUGGGUGGGUAAAACCCAUGAUUGAAGGAAUAGAAGAAAAUGAAACAGAAUUUUAACAAGAAAAUAAAAAUAAGUGAGAGUUCAAAGGAGUAGAUAUCGUGACUAGAAGCCAUCUAUCGUGUGCGCAAGAUUGAUCUAUUAUUGAUGAAUAGAAAAUAAAAAGACAUGGAAAAGUAAAUAAGGGAAAAUGAUAACUUUACUUGAUCUCAUUCGAAACAAAAGCACUUAAGUCGUUGCUGAUUGUCUUCAGAGCAUGGCAGCAUCCACCCAGGUUAUGUGAGCUAUCGCUGUGAUCUUUUAAAAGCCUAGCAAGUGCCCUUGCGAAAGGGCCUCUCAGCUCUUGAACAUCAGUUGGAUCUACACGGUAAAAAACUGGNNNNNNNNNNNNNNNNNNNNNNNNNNNNNNNNNNNNNNNNNNNNNNNNNNNNNNNNNNNNNNNNNNNNNNNNNNNNNNNNNNNCAUAGUUUUUGGAGAAUAUGACAAUUGAAAUACAUGAUUCUUGAAUUGUUUGCUUGAGGGCUGGUGUUAUUUCAGUUCCUUUUUGAAGGUUUUCAUCCUUGAAGGUAUCGAUUCCUUUUUCCUUCAAAGAUUCAAAGAGAAAGGAGAGAAAACCGUCGCGGAUGUCUUUGCCUCUGAAAUUAAUAAAAACUUCAUAGUUAUUUAGCUCGGAAUGGGUUUGCUGGGAAGAGGUUGAGGAAGGUGAAGAAGCAGCAUUGGUAUUAAUGAUAAAAGAAGGGGUUCGCUGGGAAGAGGUUGAAGCAGAAGAAGAGAAAGAAGAACCCAUAAUGGAGAAUUCCAAUGAUACAAGAAGCCGCAGAAGGCGAGUUUUAUAAAAUGUAGAAGAGUAUAUAUAUAUAUAUAUAUAUAUAUAUAUAUAGCUUAACCAUAGAGAUUUGAGAAACACACUCACACAGACAUCAGCUUUAGGAAAGUGAGUGAGUGGAAGUAGGAAAGAGAGAAAAGUGAGGCGAUGGAGAGUCAAGCAAAAAAGAGAGUCAACUGAAUCCAAUUGCUGAUAAGUAUAAAAAUCAUAGUAUAAGUACUGAGGAAAAUUCACCUCACAAUCAUAAUCUAAUAAUUUUUUUUAAAUCAUAAUUAGAUAAUUAUGUAACUCUUUGUUAUAAUUUGAAAUUUUCAAAAAAUAUUUCAAACAUAAAAAAAUACUAUAUUAUUAAUUAAUCUAUUUAAUUGCUCAAAAAUCAAAGAAUCCAUAGUUAAUGUUAUUAAUGUUUAAAUAAUCAAAAUGAAAUCACUGUCCCUUAUCUACGUUAAAAAUAAUAUAUUUGCCUUAAAUUAUAUAUAUAUAUAUAUAUAUAUAUAUAUAUAUAUUAUACAUCAUAAUAUAUAAAAAUAAUUAUACCAUUAAUAGUCAUUUUAUAUUUUAACAGCAACUUAACAUUUUACCAAAUACGAAUAGUAAUCAGCUAAUCGCUAUUAAUCAUGAGUUACUAACUACCAGCAACCCCUAUCAAUUAGCAGCUGGUAUGAACCGCUACACUAAAGGGCUUUAAUAAAUCAACAUUCUCAAAUCUCCAUCUCAUCUUAAAGCUCCAUCUUCUUCUUCUCAACUCUCCCAAUCUCCUCUUUUAUUAUAUUGCCAUAAUUUGAAAAUUUUGAUAAAUAUUUCAAGCAUCAAAAAUAUUAUAUUAUUAAUUUAUUUAUUUAGUUGCUAAAAAUUAAAGAAUCCACCCUUAAUGUUUAGAUAAUCAAAAUAUAAUCAUUGUCCAUUAUCCACAUUAAAACUGUCAUUUGAAAUUAUAUAUUGUAUAAUAGGUAACUUAUUAUAUAAAUUUACUUUAAAUUAAUAAUUAAUAUGUAUACUUCUCAGUCCCAUAAUUUUAAUGGGCAAAAAAAAUAAAAAAGGAAUUCUAUCCCUCUUGUUUAUUGGAUUUAUUUCCUUGAUUAAUGCAAUAAUAUUAUCUUUCAAAAAAAAAAAUUUUAAUAGGCAAAAAAGAAAAUUAUUGGGAAUAUUUGGUAUUUAUACAUGGAAAGAGGGAGGAAAGCUGAAGAUACAAUGAUAAUAUUGGUGAAAUCAAAGGGUUUGAUGAUUUUGAGGUGGUUCUUUGAUUUGUUCAUGGCUAGGAGCCAAAUUUCUAUAGUCGGUUGCUUUUACUAAUAAAUUGAAUAGGCCUAAACAUCCAGUAUGAGCUGGAAAAUCAAAUUAGCAGGGUUAUUUUGAUGCGCAGACUAUAAAUAAUAUUCUCAUAAUUGCUUUUGUUACAAAUUAAAUUUAGAGAGAAAGAAAAUAAUUUUUUCUAUCAAAUAAAACUAAUAGAGUUAUAAUAAAGUCAUAUUUGAUAAAAAUUAAUUGAAUAAUGUAGUUACAUUAGCAAAAAAAAAAUUAAAAUAUUGAUUUCAAUUCACUAAAAUUUAUUUCAUCAAAAUUAAAUAUUCUUAUAAUACCUCAUCCAAUUUGAACAUGUGAGAAUUUUAAAGAGCAAAAAAAAAAAAAUAACUAACUAUAUAAGUUGAAUUACAAUAAUUUACUCACAAUAAUUAAUUGUGCUAUUUAAUAUUUUAGUUCAUUACUUGAGAAUCAAAAAGAGCUUAUAAUUUUACUUUUCAUUUUUAAUUAAAAAUACAUAAGCAAAUUAUUUAUUUCAUUUUUUUUUCAUAAACAUUGUCUCCAUUGACAAGACUGAUGUGAGAGUCAUCAUCACAUACAGGAUCGGCAUGAGAGUCCUCACCAGAAAAUUGAUUUCGUUUAUAUUCUUCUAAUAUUUCAUUUAUAUUUUUAUCGUCUUCUUCUCUAUUGGUAUUGGUUGCGAUUCUACGAUUUUUUUUCUUAUUGAAAAUCUAUAACUGCCAUGAAUGUUGUUUAUACUCUAAAAAAAGACAGGACUCUCGAUUCUGCUUAAAUUAAUAUUGAUACAGUAAAUAUACAUCGUUUUUACUUGAUUUGAUCAAAUGUGUUAAUUGAUGUAAAUAUAUAUAUCAAUCUGUUAUUGUAUGGAGCAAAAUUUGCAUCAUAUGAAACUAAAUAGUCGGGCAUGGCCAUUUUAAAUGAUAGUUUUAAUGUGGAUAAUGGAUAGUAAUUAUAUUUUGAUUAUCUAAACAUUAACGGUGAAUUCUUUAAUUUUUGAGCAAAACAGAUUAAUUAAUAAUAUAAUAUUUUUGAUGCUUGAAAUGUUUCUUGAAAUUUUCAAAUUAUGACCAAGAGUUACAUAAUUAUCUAAUUGUGAUUUAAAAAAAUUAUUAAAUUAUAAUUGUCAGGUCAAUUUUCCUCGGUAUUUUGACUUGAUCAGCAAUGAACUGUACUUAAUACAAAUCAAUGGUUUAGCUUUAUAUAUACUCUUCUGCUUUUUAUAAAACUCGCCUUCUACGGCUUCUUGUAUCAUUUGAAUUCUCCGUUAUGGGUUCUUCUUUCUCUUCUUGUGCUUCAACCUCUUCCCAGAUUGCCAAAUAACUUAGGAGAUUUAAAAUCUCUUGGGGAACUCAUUGCAACAAAAAGUGGCAUACAAACAUUACCAUCUUCAUUGUCUGGUUUGAAUCUGAUGCAGGAACUUAUUCUAGUUGCUUGUGCUAUAUCAGAAAUUCCAGAGAGCACUGGAUCAUUAGUUUCAUUAAAAGAGUUAUAUCUGGAUGGAAACGGUUUCGAAAGCAUUCCUGCAAACAUCAAACAACUUUCUAACUUCGUUAUCCUUAGCUUGAAUGAUUGUAUGAGGCUUAGACAUUUGCCAGAGAUUCCAAUCUUAUUUUCGUUUUCUGCAUCAAAUUGCACCUCUUUAGAAUUCGUAUCGUGUCCAUUCUUUUCCCAUGAAGAUGAAGAUGGAUUUCUGUUUGUAUGUCUUAACUUUAUUAAUUGCAUCAAAUUGGGCGAAAAUGUAGGUAUUAAAAUUAUAGAAACCGUAUUGUCACCACAUUCAAACAUAGAGGUAUGGUUCCUUUCUCUAAUGUUCCACUCUAUUUUGAAACAGCUUUGAGAGUCCUAACUUAAGUGUUAAUUUGACUGUAUUUUUCCCAAUUUUAUUUUCAUGGGACAGGUGUUCGGAAUAUGUAUCCCUGGGAUGGAAGUACCGCAAAGUAUGAGAUAUCAGACAAGUGGAUCUCAUCUUUCAUUCGAGCUGGAGAGGGAUGAUGAUAUUUUGGGUUUCUGCUUUUGCGCUGUUAUUGAUCCCCAACUUCUUCAUUCUCAUGAUCAAGGUUCCAUUAAAUGUUUUGCUGAAUUCAAAGAUAAAUCUGGAAAGAUCCAUGGCUUUUAUUUUUUCAGGUAUGCUGUUGAUGCCUAAGUUAGAUUCAAAACAUGUGCUCCUUUGGUACAAAUCUUUCGACUGAGAAGAGCAUUUCACUCGGGCCUCAUUCCACUUUGCUAUUAGUAAGAGUUAUGAACCUAGUUAUAAUAGGGAACCGAUGAUUAAGUGUAGUGUUCAUCCUGUUUCUCGGGAACAAUAUAGGAAACCAAAACAAGAAAUGAUUCAAACCAACAAGGAUUGUAAUGGAGAGCCCCAGACAAGGAAACGGUCGGCGAAUGCUGAAUUUUGGGAUAAGAAAUCAAGACCAAGACUUUGAUUAAAGGAAUUUCUAGUUUCGUGUGUUUCUCUUUGGGAUUUUGAUUAACUAAACUUCAGUUUUUAAUUCAAAUCUUUGGUUUCUAAGUUUCGGCAGUUAUGGGUUAGCGCUGUAUCUUUAGGGCUUGUUGCAGUUGGUGGAAGAUCUUUAAUCAUGUUUGUAGUUAUCCUAAAUGCUUGUAAAUUUUAAUUAUUUGCUGUCAUCCUAAUGUCUUUAAUUAUUUGCUAGUUUGGAAUUUAGGAGGGAAGUAUGUAAUAAUGUACAUGAUUCAAUAACCUAGAUUUUUAAAAGAUGUUUGCUUCAUUUCAAUUGAUCUUUAAAACAAAUUUUGUAAAUUGGUUCAAUUUUAUCAGCAACUCACGUAAAUAUUUGGGUCUACAAGAUUAUCAAAAUCUAAGAAAAAAUCAUCACGCUCUACACAUGCCCGUCCAUCUUCAUCUUCAUCUUCCAGGAAAAGGAAUGGACAUGAUACAAACUGUAAAGAGAUGCAAUUUGAUGCAGAAAAUGUUCUUGAGAAUGGAAGUUGCCAAAUUUCUUAGCCUCUUACAAUCAUUCAACUUAGAAAGUAGUUUGAUGCUUGCAGGUAUACUUUUAAAAUCGUUUUCAUCUAAAUAUAACUCUUCCAAUGAAAUUAAUGACCCAAUGCUCUCUGGAAUUUCUGAUAUACCUCACUUAUUCAGAUAAAAUUUCCUUAGGCAAUUCAAAGCAGACAAAGGAGGCAAUGUCAUCAAACCCUUACAGACCCUCGCAACAUAAGAAUUCCAAUUUGCUCAAUUGAUUGAUAGAUGAUGGUAAUAUUUUCAUGCCCCUUGCUUUUGCUUCACGCUCCAUCCGCAAUUUUAAAUCUCCACAAUUAUCUGGCAGUCCGUUGAAUUUCAGACAAUUUGUAACAUCAAUUCCUUCAAGAGAUUUAACUGACAAACACUUUGCGGGGUGGAACUAGACUUCAAGUGUUGGGAUUAAGGAUCAAUAUAAAUAUUUGUGUGUGUUGCUGAUAUAAUUGAACCAAUUUACAAAAUUUGUUUUAAAGAUCAAUUGAAAUGAAGCAAACAUCUUUUAAAGAUCAAUCUAUACUUCCCACCAAAACUCCAAACUAGCAAAUAAUUACAAGCAUUUAGGAUAACUGCAAACAUGAUUAAAGGUCUUCCACCAACUGCAACAAGCCCUUGAGAUACAAUGCCAAUGUACAACUGCAGAAACUUAGAAAUAGAUUAGCUAUUAUGAGUGCUAAUAGCCAAGUAACAGCCAAUAAUAAGCUGAUUCUCUCCACUACUGUGAUGCUGUGAAUUGAAAACUGAAGUCAACCAAAAUCCCAUAAUUCAGAGUUCGCCGCCGGUAUGUAUCCUUAUUUGGUUCUCCCUGAUGCCAUCCUUCUUGGUUUUAAUCAUUCCUUAUUCGGCUUUCCUAUUUUCUUCCCGAUAUAUAGGAUGAAUGCCACAAUUGAUCACCUUCGCACUGUCUUCACCUUUUCCGGAAAAAUUUAGAGAGAAGUGAUCAACAUGGAAUGAGACUCGAGUGAAAUUCCGUUCAUGAUCAAAAGAUGUAUACCUAAGGAACACAUGUUUUGAAUCUAACUUAGGAAGCCAAAAAUAUCGAAGAUAAAAGUUACAGCUAUAUUUAUACAUCUUUCCAGAUUUAUCUUGGAAGUUCACAUAACCCGUAAUGCCAUAUUCAUCCAAAUCAAAAUCUUGGAAAUCAAUAACAACGGAAAAAUAAAAACCCAACACACGAUCAGGUCUUUCCAACUGAACUGAAAGAUGAGACCCACUUGUUCGAUAUUUCAUAAUUUGCGGCACUUUCCCCCCAGGGAUACAUAAUUGACACUGUUGCUCCAUGAAAAUAUAUUUUGUUAAAGAAUAUCAUAAUUAAAUAACGAUAGAGCUGAAUUUAAAUAGCUGAUGAAUGAGUAAAUGGAUAAUUUAAACACAAAUUUUAAAAAACGCCUAUAAUAACUAUUGAAAUCUUUCGUGAUAUAUAGUUCAAUUUUAUUAUGUUUAUCUCUCUUCCCUUAUCAAAGCAUAAAUUAAUUAUGAAAUUCACAAGUUAGGAAAAUAUUCCAUUGAUGUUUAUCAUCGAAAAUCUUAAUUAACAAUUUUUUUUUAAUAAGGACUUCUUUAUUAAUUUAAUAUUAGAGAAAGGGAACAUACGUGCUGGUCUGGGUGUGCUGAGAACGGGGCUUCCAAAAUCUGAAGACGUAAUUUAUCACCCAAUUUGAUGCAGUUACCAAAAUUAAGAUCAGUGUACCUGGAAGAGGACGAAAAUGAUACAAAUUCUAAAGAGGAGCAAUUUGAUGCAGAAAAUAACCUUGUGCCUGGAAGCGCUGGCAAAUAUCUAAGCCUCUGACAAGCAUCCAACACAAGAGUCUCCAAGUAAGAAAGUUGUUUGAUGCUUGCAGUAAUGCUUUUGAAAUCGUUUCCAUAUAAAUAUAACUUUUUCAAUGAAACUAAUGAUCCAAUACUCUCUGGAAUUUCUGAUAUACCAGAGUCACGCAGAUGAAGCAUCUGUAGGCUAUUCAAACCGGACAACGAAGGCCAUACCGUCAAACCUUUACAGCCCAUAAAAUUCAAACGUUCCAAUUGGCUCAAUUGAUUGAAAGAGGAUGGUAAUGUUCUUUCACUUCCUGUUGCUUUAAGUGCCUUCAGAGAUUUUAAAUAUCUGAAGUUAUUUGGCAAUGUGCUGAAUUUCAAAUAUCUAAGAUCAAUGCAUUCAAGAGAUUGUAACUGGCCAAUGGAGUUUGGAAGAUUUUCAAGCUCUGUACACCCACUUAACGAUAAUGCAACACGUUGAGAGCAAUGUCCAAUUGAUGAAGGCAAUUGUUUUAUUGCAGUUCUACUUAAAUUUAAAUCCCUUAAAUUGCAAGGAAUUUCUGGACAUUCUUCAAGUUUACUGCAGCCUUGAACAUUAAGAAUCUCAAGAUUUUCUAACUGAAGGAAGCUUGGCAAAUUGCGAAUACUUUUACAGUUAUCUAACUGUAGCUGAGCAAGCUUUGGGGCUUGAAAUGAGUCCGAAAUUCUCAAUAAAGACGGAGAGCUGCGGAGGUCCAUAACUUUCAA